UUGCUAUCUUUUUCAGAGACUUGAACGGUUAUCCUUCAUACCAGUUUUGUUGAUAUGUUUUGUUAUUGCUCUUGCUCAUGUUUGUUUCUCUAUUUCUUUAAUUUGCAUGCAUGUAUUUUUCGUUCUCUUUUAUGUUUUUGUUGGUUUGUAUGUAGUUUGUUUUUAGGGGUAAGGUUGAUUAUGUCCUUCCCUAAUUACACGUAUCCUUUUUAUGUUUAUUCAAUAAAGCUUCUCUAAUACUAUCGAGGUUCAUCAAAAGAAAAUUUUUAAUUAAUUUUCUUUUCUUUGACAGGUAAUGAAAUUCUAAUCUUCAUAGUGAAUAACUUCAAUAAUAGAGUAUAAGAGUAUUAGUAGUUAUGGUUGUUUUUUGAACCUAAAGUCAAGAGCAAUUUAACAGCAACAAACAAGCCUCUUGUAUUAUAGGCAAAAUUCUUUUCAUUAAUCUUAUUUAUCUACAUGUUCUCCUUUUUUCUCCAUUAAUCUUCGCUCAAGCUUUCAUGCUUCCUCUUUGAUAAAGGAAAAUAUUACUUGCGAAUAUUUCAAUUUGACAUAAGAGACUGUUUUGCCAACCAUUUGAUAAAAUGGAUAUGAGUGGAGCUUUCAAUCAUUACCUCCACCAAAAUCCUUACAACGCCACUUUUAAAUUUUAUUUUUUAAAAUACAUUCAGUUUAAUUUAUAAAAAAUAAAUCCAUUUGUUAAAAUUAAUCUUUUUCUCAUAAAUUUCAACCUAAAAAAUAUAUUUCUUUUAAAUUUUUAAUUAUAAAAUACAUACAAGUUCUAAACUAUUAUUUUAUUUUCUUCUUAUUAUAUAGUUUAUAUCUCCAUAACUCUAAACUCCUAUAAUUUUUUUUAAAAUGUUUUUAAUUUAAAAUAUAAAUAUUAAGUAUAUAAUGGAGUGGGUAUAAAAAAAUUUGUUAAAAGAAUAAUUCAUUUAAGUAUUUAACUAAAUUUAAAUUAAAAUAAGAAAUAAGUUAAUUUAUUUUUUAUUAGUUAAGUAAUUUUCAAUUGAAAAAGAGCUGUAUGAGUAAUAUUAUUGAAAUAUGAUUAAAAUUCUUAUGAAUUAAAUAUUUUCGUAUAAAUACUAGUGAUAAUUACAGAGAAAGGACAAGGAACCAAAGAAAAUGUGAAUAUAAAUACUCCAAUGUAAUUUUACACAUGCAAAUUAUGAACCAGUGAUCUUUAGAGCAUCAUAAAAUUAUUUUGACAGAAUUACUUAUUUUGAAAAAUUGCCAACAAUGUUUAAAGUGGGAUUGAAAAGAUUAUACUACUUAUAUAAGACAUGAUAUCAUUUAAGAUGGCUUACGAAUUAUAAAAAAUAUAUUGAUCUUACAAAUAUUUAAUAUGUCAAUUAGACGGGCCCAGCUACCUUCCACCUGCUAGAAGGUACAUCUUAUUUUGUCCUCUAGUGUUGUGGGCGUUGGAUAUUUUAGAAGUUGAUCUAACGGUUCUUGUUCGACAGCGUGAAAUUGAAUUUCAAUUGGCAACCGUUUCAUGAACUUUGCAAGAGACAAUUAUCUACAAAAAUAUUAAAAAAAUAAAACCAAUUUUUCCCUUUCAUCAGCCGCCGCCGCCACCCACGAACCCUUAAUAUCAUCAUCACCAUCCCAAUCCUUAGUCGCCAUCCACAAGCUCUAACAACCACCAUGACCGCCAUCACAACCACCACUCCUCACAACCCCUAGCCACCACUACAAACAUUCACAAACUCCAACCAUAAUUGUCAGUUCACCAACAUUAUCCUCCAUUGACGCGGCCUACCAAUCAUCCACAACACCUAACCGUCGUCACCAACAAACUUUCGCCACCGCUUCCUACAAGGAAGCCUCACCACCCACCACCGCACACACACAAAGCCACACCAACCGCCAUACUAUUGCGACAGAGGCCACAAUGUAGACAAAUUCCCUAAGAGGAAGGAUGUUUUCCUUCUCCAGCUGACUAUUCUUUUUUAUCCUUUUUUUUGUUUUUUAAUUAUUAUAUUACUUUUAGUUAUUUUUAGUUUUUCUUUUAUUUUGUCUAUAUUUUGGUUGUUAGAAUGUUUUUGUUGUUGUUGUUGGCGGCAGUGCAGUUGUAGCUCAUGAUGAUGAUGGUGAUGUUGGUGUCAUUUUAAUCGAGAUUUUGUUUUUUUUUUACCGGCUACGCCAGUCAUCUUCAUUCAUUACAUGUCCAUUUCUAACAUGUUAGAUUUUACUACUUUUUAAUCCAAGGGUUAGACCACAACGAGACGAAAGAUGGGGUACCUUCCAAUGGGUGGAAGGUAGUUCGGCCCAAUUUAGACAGAGUCUAUGCAAUAAAAAUUUCAAAUUAAAAAAUAAACCUUUUAUUUUCUUUUAAUCAUAAGUGUGAUCUUAAUUAUUAACGUCUUUCAAUGUCCAUUACUUAUUUAUUUUUUUAAUUACCUAAAUGACAUUGAAAACUCUACUCAAUAAUAAUUCGUUCAAAUGUUUUAUUUUAAAGUAAUCGGAAACUGCAAAUGAAACAAAUGCUUGAAAUCACAAACGGCCUAAAAUUAGAUUUUCAUUUUUCAAUGUUGCAGUGACUUUGAUCUUGAUAUUGAAAAUUUAUUUGUAACUUAUAUAAAGGCCUCAAUUUUAUCAUAAUUGGUUAGUAAGGCUACGUAGGGAGCAUGGAUAAAUUUUGGGAUUGGAUUAUAUUUUCGAAGCUAAAAAAUUAAUUUCAUCUAAUGUUAUGUUUGGUUGUCAAGACUAGCAACUUAGUCUAAAAUUAUUGAAAUUACUAAUCUUUUAUAUUAUAAUCUUUUCGUUCCCACUUUAAACAUUAUUGGUAACUUAAAUCAUUUUUUAAAUUAAACAUAAAAAUCAUUUAAAUUAAAUAUUAACAUUAAUUUCAUAAGUUUUUUACCUAGAAUUUUAUAUUAUAUUAAAUACUACAAUUCUAUUCAAUAAUGUAUUAUCAUUUAUUUAAUAAAUGUUUAGGUUUUCAGUAUGUUAUAUUAUUAUUUAAAUUAAUUUUUUAUUUACAUAUAAACAUAAAUUUAUAUUUACUAAUUUAUAUUUAUUAUAAUUUAUUAAAUAAUAAAAUCUAAAUGAUUAUAUUUAAAAUAUAAUUUGUAUGUUAAUGUAUUAUAGCCUAAAUCUUACCCCUAUGAGUUUAUUUUUUCCACCUUUUAUUCUAUUAACCACAUUUAUAAGGCAGUGCGAUGCAACUAAAAAUUAUAACCAAAUAUAAGUUAGCAUGAAAAUAAUAUUUUAGUACAAUACAAUACAAUGUAAUAUAAGCUGACAAAUAGAUAUUUAAUGGAAGCAAAAAUUGCAUAUGGUUUGUCGGCCUCUCAAAAGACAGCAAAGAAACCAAUAUGAUACACUGAUUCUGUCCUCUUUAGCAGUGCCUUUACUAAAUAGGAAUAAAAAUGAAUUAGAAUCGGAAUAGAUUAUAAUCGAAAUGAGGAAUUAGAAAAAGAAUAAGUUAUUUAAUUAAGUUGUAUGAAUUAGAAUUGAAAUAAACUUCAUUCUAAUUGAUGUGUUUAUUUUCUCUUGAAAUUAGAAUGGACUAUUACAAGUUACUAAAAAAUCAUUUGGUAAUUGAUGUCUCUAGUAUUAUUUGUAUUUGUUAUAAUGUUAACAAUAAUAAGAAUAAAACUAAUACUAAAAAUGAAAAUAAUAAUAAUAAUAAUAGAGACAAUAAUAAUAAAAUUAAUAAAUUAUUAUUAUUAUUAUUAUUAUUAUUAUUAUUAUUAUUAUUAUUAUUAUUAUUAUUAUUAUUACUACUACUACUACUACUACUACUACUACUACUACUACUACUACUACUACUACUACUACUACUACCACCACCACCACUACUAUUAGUACUGAAGACCGCCCGGUAAAGAUUGGAUAGUGAAAAUGAAGACGACGAAGAUCCCGGCAACCACCUGCUACUCCAAAGAUGAUGUGCCCAAAUGGAGACAACCAGUGAUGACUAGCCAACUAGAUCCAAAUCUCGAUAUUGUGAUCUUGCAUGACCAUUGAUAAAGCGAUGUGUGAUGUCGGUGUUGUGAUUUCUUUUUUAUUUAUAUUUUUUAAUUAAUCAGGGGUAUUUUCAAAAUUUAGUAAUUUUAAUAUGGGCAAAUUGGAUAGUCUAGUGAACAGGAGACUAAUUCCCAAUCAUCCUAGAAAUUAGUCUCUCAUUCUUUAUUUUUAAUUUAAUGUGGGUUCCACUAUUUCGAUUCCAAUUCUUACAUUUAUUUAUAAAGUAAAUAAUGUUAAUGAUUUCAAUUUCCAAUUCGAAAAAUAAACACAUCAUAAUAUUUUUUUAGGUGCUUCCAUGACAUAAUCUCAUUGGUCCAUUUUUCUUCAUGCCUUAUAUUCAACUUCAAGAUUCAAGAUUCAAUUUGAAGCAAACACAACUACAAAACAAAUAUAAUAAGCGUUAAUAAGCCUGUGGCCAAGCAAAUGUAACUUGUAGUGACCAAUCAUAUCUUAUUAUCUUCCGCCAGAAGUUAAACAAUGUUCCCAUUCCACGUGUCACUCUCUGACCAAUCCCCGAACUUUCUUCAUAUUUCCAAAGAAACCCUCACCAAGUCAACAUAAUUACCUUCACUCUACUCAUAUAAAUACUGUCCUCGAUUCGACUGAUGUCUGAUGACGACAUAUCCUUGGUCUUUAAUUAAAGAAAAAAGGACACAGAGACUCCCAACGUUUGAAUAAGGGACAUAAAAUUUUUUAAUGUUUUAAAAAAGACACUCAGACCCCCAUUUGUUAAUAAUAAAUUAUAAUUUUACCAUUAUACCCUUAUAGCAUAUUAAAAAUUAAUUGUUCAUUAUCCAAUUUAUUUCCAUAUUAUUAAUAAAAAUUACGAAUAUAACUUCAUUACCCUAUUUUUCCAUUUAUUUUUUAUCAAAUUUUAUCUUCAAACUAAAUAAAUUUAAUCCAUUGCUCAAAAAUAAAAAUAAAUUAAAUUGAUUAUUAAUAUAAUACAAAUAACAAUUCUCCAUAUGUUAUUUCUUAUAAUUUCUUAUAUAUAAAUUAAAUUGAUAAUUUCUUAAAAAUAACAAUUCUCCAUAUAUAAAUUAAAUUUAUUUUAAUUUAAUAUAUGUUAUUUUUAUAUUAAAUAUAUGUUAUUUUUAUUAUAUUAGUAAUCAAUUUAUUUUUAUUCUUGAGCAAUGGAUUAAAUUUAUUUAGUUUGAAGAUAAGAUUUGACAAAAAUUAAAUGAAAAAAUUGAAUAAUGAAGUUAUAUUCGUAAUUUUAUUAAUAAUAUAGGAAUAAAUUAGAUAAUGAAUAAUUAUUUUUUAAUAUGUUAUAAGAGUAUAAUGAUAAAAUUAUAAUUUACUAUUAAUAAAUAGGGGUCUGAGUGUCUUUUUUAAAACAUUAAAAAAUUUUAUGUCCCUUAUUCAAACAUUAGGGACCUCUAUGUCAUUUUCCCUUAUUUAAAAGUGGAAAUUAUAAAAAAUUCUCCUCGUUCCCUAAAGAUCUAGGGUUUCUCGAGAAUCGCUAAACCUAGAUCCCAAUCCUUCAAAAUCUCAAUUUAACCUCUCUAGGGUUUCGAUUAUCGAGGAUUCGCUUCAAAAUUUAGUAUUUUUUAGGGGAUUUUGCUUGUCUCGUAUCCUUCAAUUGUUGUUCGGUUCUGAAAAUAAUUUGGAAUUUUAGGGAUUUUCAGAUUAUUUGGUUUUGCUUGAGUGCAAUUUCCUCUAGUUACGGUUUCAGUUUGAAGGGUUAAGUGCGAUUUCGAAUAUUUUUAUAAAAUUAAAAUUAAAAUUCAUAAAACGACUGGGCUUUUAAUAAUUAAUUGCUGGCUAGCGAUACUACAACGGCGGCCGCAGCUGCAGAAGAAGCAGAGGCGGUGGAGGAGUAUGAUAGCGAUCCAGAUGAAGUGAAACGCUCUCUUGCGAUGCGCAGAAGGGAAGCCAGCGAUGAGGAGGUUGAGGAGGAUAAAGAUUCAGAGCUUCCAAUAGUUCAAAGUGUCCACAUUCCUGCGGGAGAAGCGGAGGCUGUGGAUGAGUAUGAGAGCGAUCCAGAUGAAGUGAAACACUCUCUCAUUAUGCGCAGAAGGGAAACAAGCGAUGAUGAUGAGGAGGAGACAUAAUUUGAGCGUCGAAUGAAUUGAAGGGUCCAGAUUCACUCUUACAUUGAAUCUGAUGGCCAAGGUGGUGCUCCAGCUGAGUAUGAUGAUGAUGAUGAUGAAGAAGAGGAACAUGACAGAGAAUUAGAAGAAGAAGAUGAAGAAGGGGAUGUUUAUGAGGCUGUAGAGGAAGAAGAAGUUUAUGAAGAAGAGGGGAGGAAUGAUGGGGCGGUUAAAGUCAAAGGAAUAGAGGGUAAUGAUGCAUAAGGAGUACGGAGGGUGCAGUGGAAGUGAGUAAAGGGAAUAAUGAUAAUGGCAAUGGUGCUAAAAGAAUGAUGCAGCAGAGGAGAGAAUGGAGAAAGAGAAGAAGGAGAGUAAUGAGCCUUUUGUACAGCAACUGGGGCUUUUUGCACAGCAACUGGGGCUUCUUAUAUGGGACAAUGUUGCAGGUCGACACAGGUAUUAUUUGAUUUGAGUGACAAUUUAUAAAUAGCUAAUAGCUGUACUUUCAUUAGUGCUUGUCAAUUAAUCCAGUCUCGUUUUUUGGUGCUGUAUAAUGAUUGUUUGCUGGAAUCUGUGUAGAAGGCUUUUGGCCUAGUAGGUUGAAAGGAGAGAAAGUUCUCAAAUAAACAUCUGUGCUUUGUGGAAUAUAAUUAAUAGGUACAAAGCAUACUAAAUUACUUGACAGAGAGAUGCCGAGCUAAUCAUGAGCUAUGAUAGCAUCAUCCGUGCUUUGUGUAUUUUUAAUAGGGCUUGUCUAUUUCAAAGUGUGUAGUAAUUUUUGGGUUUAGUUUGAGUGAUGAAGUGUUAGAUGGGUUUCUGUUUGGCAUAGUUAAGUGGUUAAUACGAGCUAUUGAAGCAAAUAUGGAGUAGGAUAUCUAGUUUUGGGUUUGGUCUUAGUUUGAAGAUGGCUACUGAUUAUGCAGCUAGGUACUAAUUAGUGUUUGUGGAUUGCUAAAUGCUUUCUGUCAAAUGUGACUAGAUUAUUACUUGAAGUGCAUGGAUCUUACACUUAAUUAAUUAUAUAUCCAUUUGUAAUGUACAAAAUGAUCAUGUACUAUUGCUUAAAAUUAUGUUUUCAAGACAUCAUUUUGAAUCCAUGGUUGUAAUGUGUCUCUAAAUUCAGUAAGACAAGUUCUGUCAAUUGCUGUCGGAUGGCAGUGACUUGAAUAGUUUAAUGUUCAUUUGCAGAAAAAAAUUGAGAAAGAAAACUAAAAAUUUCUGUGCGUUCUGCUGGAAAUUUAAUUAGCUUCAUUUGAGCAUUAAUUGCUGGCAUUAUCUCUUAGAUUUCUCUUGCAUUGAAUGAAUGGAUGAGUGCUAAUCCAUGCAAAGACUUCCAUGCAUACACAAUGAAUGCUUCAUCAAAGGUAUGGUAAAAUGUCAACACGCUUGGCCCAAAUUAUCAAGCUGGUGUGGUGGCUGCUAGAUUUGUUCAUCCGGAUUUUGGACCAUUUUCAUUGACAAUGAGAAAAGCUGCAAGAUCUGUAAAUCGGAAACUCAUUGAAGUGCCAAAAGAGAGAUGGAAGUGAAUAACUAGGGAGUUAGUGAAAAGAGGGUGCAGUGAUUGUGUGGGAAGCUUUGGGUAUAUUUGGGGUUUGGAUGUAAGAUAAAAUAAUUUGAGAGAGAGGUUGUAACAAUUUUUCGGUAAUAGAGUUUUUCAGGUAACUCUUGUGUUGUGUGAUUGGAGUAUUCUCUAUUGUAUUUUUUUAUUUGUUAUUUAUUUGACAUAUUGCUAGCGGAGAUCUUGGGUGGGAGCCAAAAAUUCCCAACAAUUGUCAAUUGUUUUAAACUCUAUUUCGAACAGAGCAUGAAGGGAUUCACUUAUCUGAUUAUGUCUUUUAUGCUUUAACUUCACUUGAUUUCAUCUUGUCUGUCACCUUUAUUAAAGUUGUAUAUGUUGGAGUAUUAGGUUCAUCACAGGGAUCAUAUUAUGGCUAAGGAAGGGGCACAAGAGUAUUUGGAUUCAAGACUGUUAGAAGGUUGUUACAAUGCAAGGCUGUUGCUGUGUAACUGUAUGCCAUUCACGCAAGUGCACUCUUAACAGAUUGCUGAGCUGGCACCGGAUGUUUUUAGCUAAUAUUAGUUAUUGGUCUAGAGUGUUCUGAUUUAUUCUAUAAAUAGCUCAUUUGAGCUUAGAACCUUUAUAGUGUAUCAUACGUUUCCGUUACUUCUAAUAAUGAGUUUCUCUAUUCCUUUUUCUUUCACUUUCUCUUCCAUUUUCAUGAUCCCCAAACACCAUCAAUCCAUGAUUUUCUAGAGUAUUAGUUGUCUAUUUCUACAAGGGGAAAUAUCCACCGUCCACCUGAUUUUGUUUACUUUUUUAAAAAUAUACAAAUCCUAAAUUUUUUAGCUGCGCUCCACCUGAACUUAUAAUUUUUUUCACAUUUCCACCUCCGUCUGCAAACCGUCAAGGCGUUGCUGAUGUCAUAAGGCUAAAAUGAUAAUUUCACUUGGGCUUAAAAAACGACGUCGUUUAAGAUCUGUAAUAAGCAAAAAAAAAAGUUAUUUCAGUUUCAAGAAUCCAAACAAAAGCUUUGAUAAACUCGAAGCUCAAAGCUUAAUUAUUCUCUGGUCUCUACUCACCACAUUCGCAUUCAUGGCUGCACAAGACACACAAAUUGAGAGCGAAAAUAAAGACUCAAAAGAACCCAAAAACCUGUUCGCACACUUUAUAAACUUAUUAUUUUCUGCUCCAAUAUUUAAUAAUAAGCAAGAGAGAAAUAAAAGUGAAGGUGAAGAAAGAGAAGCUGCAGAGGCAAGCAAGAAACGAGAGGUGGUGAAAUUUUCGCUUUUAAAAAAAUAAAAAAAAGAAAGAAAAAGCAAAGGCAAAGCCAAAAUCUUCUACUCUGAAAGUCAUCGACCAUAGUCAUGGCGGAAAACACAGAAAUUGCUUCCAGUCCCAGAAAACAAGAAAACAAAAGCAUACUCUCGCGGUUGCCGAAAUUCCAACUCAAUCUCCAUUUCUUCUUUAAUCAACAACCUAAGAAAGUAGAAGAAACUGUUGUUUCUAAAGGGACUGCCAAAACGUCAACGGUUAGUGAAGCCGAUGACGGUAAUGCUAGUAGUGUGAAGCCGAGCUUGGCUAGGUUUCCAGACGCCACACGUCCGAUUCUUCCGCUGCCGAUUGAGCUCGAGGCCCAAGAGCCCGCCGGGCGGACUUCCAAUCCUGUCGUUCUCUGGCAGGUUCGCUUUCUUCCGUCUGUUCCUGUUUGGUUCCCGAGAAAAUGUGGGGUCCUUUUGUGUUGCGAGAUUGCGAGAUUUUAUAAUAUUUGUUUAAAAAAUAAAAUUUUUGAAAGGAUUUCAAGAUUUUCAGUCUUUAUCUAGGGCUACAAUACUCACAAAGUUAAUAUUUUGGCGUUUAUUGAGGGUAAAUAUAUAAUUUUUUAUUUUCGGGGUUAAAAAGUAAUUUGGACAAAAUUCCGUUAGUUUUAUUGACGGUUUACAGACGGAGGUGGAAAUGUGAAAAAAAUUAUAAGGUCAUGUGGAGCGCAGCUAAAAAAAUUAGAAUUUGUGUAUUUUAAAAAAAGUGGACAAAAUCAGGUGGACGGUGGAUAUUUUCCCUUUCUACAAACAUAAAAUUGUUGUUUUAAGAAACAAAGUACUCUGUCCUGUCACCCGCGGUCUCCUCGUUUAUCGACUUGUGAACAGGGCUAAAUAAACGGCAAAUAAGAUAUUAGGUCAAUGGGUCUAACGUGACAAGAUAUUGAAUUAUUGCCCUUUUCUUUUCUCCACAAAUCUUUGGUUAAUUUUUAGGUUCUCUCAACUUUUUUCCCCUUUAGCACUAAAAUUCAUUUUUGAUACUUUAUGCAAAAAUUAUGAUGAAAAUGAGUCACUUUAGAACAUUAAUAAAUUUUUAUUUUUACAUCCAAAAUAACGACAGUUACACUUAGAUCACUCUCAUUUAGUUGAACUAUAUAGGUAAUAAAGUUGGCUUAACAAAAUAUGAUUCUUAACUGUUGUAAUUAAGCACUAGUAUUCUUUGGUUUUAGUUGUAGGGCUUAUAAUGCCGUGGCUCAGUUCUUGGUGGGUUCAAAUUAUUAGACGAUCAUUCUCAAUCCUUUACGAUUCGUAAUUAAAAAUUCUUAUAUCACAAUUAGAACUUACAAACAAGUCAAAGUGGGUAAAAUCAUAUGUAUAAAUUCGAGGUUUAUUACAAACUUUUAAAAAAGAUUUUCUCUGUUUUUUUUUUCUUUCACAUUCUCUUCCAUUUUCUCAAUCCCCAAACACCACCAAUCCCUGAUUUUUUGAGUAUUAGCUGUCUGUUUCUACAAACAAGUUCUUGAAUUGAAUGGCUCCUCUUUUAUCCAUAGAUCUUUGCUUAAUAUUUUUGUUCCCUCAACCUUUUUCGGCCCUUUGCUCUAAAAUUCUUUUCUGAUACAUUAGCAUUACGCAAAAAUUAUGAUGAAAAUAAGUAUGCCAUGCCGGCAAGUGUAUUGUACAGAUUUCUAGAGUAUUACCUGUCUAUUUUUUUCACCGAUGACGAAGCUAAUUAUUAGUAAUCAAUCUAAAGUCUACCUAUAAAUACAAUAGGUUGCUUAGGUGGCACCAAUAUCCUAACUUUAUGCCAUGUUUCUGGUGUGUCUUCACAAAUUCACCGAUACAAAUUAAUUUCUACCAAUAUUACCAAAUGAUUGUAUUUUACGUUUCUAUUUACUUGUAAUAAAGAUCUUCAAUUUUAUUGGUUACAAAAUUCUCUAGGAUUGCAUGUACAUUAUACUUUUAUAUACAUAUUUUCUUCUUUCUCAUUCGUUUUCUGGGUGAACAUAUUAUUUUCGUCAUCAUCUCUAUAACAAUGAAGUGAAAAUAGUCCUCAUUUAAAGUAUUGACAGCAAUGUUAUACUCAAUAUAACGUAUAAAGCACGCAUAAUUUAAUUAAUGGGGCAGCUGCUAGUACCUUCUAUAGAAGAGAAUUAUUGCAGCAAGUUAAUUGGAAGCUCAAAGAGUUUCCGUAUUAGCCGAAUCUAAGCGAUAAGUGUUUCCAUGUGAGACAUAAUUUGGGAAAAAGACCAAUUCGAGUUAAAGAUCAGAAAACAAACACUGUCAACAAGCAUUAAUGUCAUUUGAUGCAUGAAAGACAAUUAGUCCCAUUUUUUUGUCCUGUUUACUUGACUUGGGCAAUUUGCCGUCAACUUUUCUCAUCCACGUCAGGUAAUGUGGCUUUUAUUUGGUAUGAAAAAGCCAAUGCUUUACGAUAAAACUAUCACACACAUAUUAUCCAUCUGUAAUGUUCAAAUGACACUCAAGUAUUACCUAAAUUAGCCUUUUAAAAAUUCAUUUUCAAAAACCCAUGGUUGUGAUGUGUCUCUAUAAAUUAAGAUCUAUCUGUUACCAACUGUUUUAACUCUGUUCUGAACAGAGCUUGAAAGGGUACAUUCACUUAUCUAGUUAUGUUUUUUAGGCUCUCACUUUAUUUGAUUCACCUUAUCCCUCUUUUGAAACAAUUGUUCACUGGCUGCACUCAGUUAACAGAAUAUUUUGGGAUUCAAAAUAACAUCUUAUUUUCUAAAAUAACUAAAUAGAAUCUUACAGAAUUAGAGUGCCUGACUUCUUCAUACAGUGCUUGACUUCUUUUUACAGAAUUAUAAAGUGAAAAAAUAAAUUAAGAAAUUAAAUACUUUUCAUGCGAGUGGAGAAGAUUGGGUGGCGAUUACAUUAAAUAAAAGAAAAAUAAUUUAAAAGUACAACCCUUUAAUAAUCUCAUUCCCAAUAAAUCGUUGAAACGUCUUGCUUCAUAUUGUUCUUUUUUUUUUUUUUGAUUAAUUGGCCUAAAUAUUGUAUUUUUGUCAGGAGUCUUGCAAUGCUGCGUAACACCGUAGUAAGAAGAAACGUGUCUAAGGUUGCCACGUGUUGUCUCAACAUCUGUGUGAAAACCGAAUUAACCAGUUUGCGUUCGACAACAAAGGAAAAUCUUUAUAACACCCUUUUUAAUUUUAUUUUCUGAAAUACACUCAGUUUUAUUUGUAGCAUAUAAAUCUAUUUAUUAAAAUUAAUCAUCUUUCCAGAAAAUAUCAAUCUAAAAAAUAUUUUUUUAAAUUUUUUUAUAAAAUACAGAUAAAUUCUAAUUAUAAAAUUUAUAUCUCUAUAACUCUAAACUCAUUUAAUUUUUUAAAAUUAUUUUUUAAAUUUAAAAUAUAAAUGUAAAAUAUAAAAUAAAUCCAUGUAUGUCAAUACUAGAUGGUUCCAUAUUAAACCUGUGAAGUGUAGAAAAUAAGCGGGAUUCGUAAAAAAUAUUUUAGAUAAUAACAUUGAAAAGUGAUAAAAAUAUUUUUUUUAAAAAAAAGAAAUACAUACUCGAGACACCAAGACCGGCACGCACAAACUCACACAUUUAUAUAUUAAUUGAGGGGGAAAAUGAUAUUCUAAGUAAUAUUGUUGACAUGUGAUAAAAAUUCUUUUUAGUGAAACAUUUUUGUAUAAAUACUAGUGAUAUUUGUAGAGAAAGUAGAAUGAAGUGAGAAAAACUUGAAUAUAAAUGCUCCAAUAUAAUUUCUCCCAUGCAAAUUAUGAACUAGUGAACUUUAAAGCAUCAUAAAAUUGUUUCAACAUAAGUAAUUAGUUUGAAAAAUUGCCAAUAAUGUUUAAAGUGGGAACGAAAAGAUUAUACUAUAUGAGACACGAUAUUAUUUAAGACAACUUACAAAUUACGGGAAAUGUAUUGAUCUUACAAAUAAUAUUUAAUAAGUACAAAUUUCAAAUUAAAUAAUAAACCCUUAAUUUCCUUUUAAUCAUAAUUAUGAUCUUAAUAAUUAAAGUCAUUCAAUCUUAAUCACUUUUUCAUUUUUUUAAACUAUCUAAAUGACAUUGAAAACUCUACUCAAUAUUAAUUUAUUCGAAUGUUCUGUUUCAAAAUAAUUGAAAACUGUAAAUGAAACAAAUGCUUGCAAUCACAAAUGGCCUAAAAUGGGAUUUUUAUUUUUUAAUAUUGCAAUGACUUUGAUCUUGAUAUUGGAAAUUUAUUUGUAACUUAUACUAAGUCUUCAAUUUUAUCAAAAUUAGUUUCUAGAGAUGCAUUUGCCAUACUGUGUAGUUGUAUUGUAUGAUGAUAUAUUACAUUAGAGUGCAUUGUAAUGAGAUGUAAUGCAAUACUAUUUUAUAUUAAUGUUAAAACUAAAUCAACCUUAUUUAAAUUUAUUAAUAUUUUAGGGUUUUAAUAGUAAUAUCUGAAAUUAAGUAUUAAAUAAUUAUUUUUAUAAUAUACAAAUUAUUUAAUAAUAUUCUACUAUUAAAUAAUAAAAUAUUACAAUAUUAUGUUAUAUUAUUAACAAUUAUUCUGUUAUAAUAUAAUUUAUUUUUAUAUAUUAGUUAUUAUAAUUUAUUAUAAUCAUAUUAUAAUAAUAUUAUAUUGUAAAAAUACAAUACUAUAUAAUUGUAUAAUAUAAUAUGAAUUAAUUUAUAACUUAACAUUAAAUUAUAAAUUUAUUUUAUUUAUUAAUGUCAAAUAUAUUUGUCUAAUUUAAAUUUGGUAUUUUUUUAAAAAUAAACUAUUAAAUAAUUAAAAUGAUUUUAUAGAAUAAAGUAAAAUAAUGUAUUAUUAUUUAUUAAUUAAAUAUUUAGGUUUAUUAAUAUACUAUAUUAUUAAUUAAAUUAAUGAAUAUUAAUUAAUAUAAAUAGUAUUAAAUAGUAUAUUAAUACUAUAUUAUUAAUAUACUAUAUUAUUAAUUAAAUUAAUGAAUAUUAAUUAAUAAUUUAAAUUUAUUAAAUAAUAAAUUUAAAUGAUUAUAUUUAAAAUAUAAAUAGUAUUUUAAUGUAAUAAAACCUAAAUCCCACAUGUAUACCACAUUUGUUAUACAGUGUAAUGCAACUAUAAAUUAUAAUUAUAUAAAAAUAAUAUUUUAAUACAAGUAUAAUGCCACUUGAGAAAUUGAUAUUUUAAUGGAACCAAAAUUUGCAUUUGGUUUGUGGGUCUCUCAAAAAAUAAUAAUAAAAACCAAUAUAAAACACUGAUUCUGUCCUCUUUAAUAUUUUUCUAAAUGCUUCCAUGGCAUAAUCUCAUUGGUCCAUUUUGUUUCACAGCUUAGAUUCAACUUCAAGAUUUUCAAUUUGAAGCAAGCUGUGGUCGACUGGCCGUGGCCAAACAAACGUGCCUCAUGGAGUCAUGGUGACUGAAUCAUCUCUUAUCUCAGAAUUUGAACUUAAACAAUUUGAACUUAGACUGUUUUUUUAUUGUCGAAGAUUCGCUUCAAAAAUUAGUAUUUUUUAGUGGAGUUUGCUUGUCUCGUAUCCUUCAAUUGUUGUUUGGUUCUGAAAAUAAUUUGUGAUUUAGGGAAUUUCGAUUAUCUGGUUUAGUUUGAGUGCAAUUUCCUCUAGUUACGGUUUCAGUGUGACGGAUUAAUUGCAAUUUCGAAUUUUUGAUAAAAUUUAAAUAUUUAUUUAUUUAUUUUGAGAAGGCUAGUGAUAAAAUUGGGCGGUUAUUAAUUAAUUGAUGGCUAGUGAUACUACAACGGCGGCCGAAGCUCCGGAAGAAGCGGAGGCGGUGGAGGAGUAUGAUAGCGAUCCAGAUGAAGUGAAACACUCUCUCGUGAUGCGCAGAAUGGAAGCAAGCGAUGAUGAGGAGGAGGUGGAGAAAGAAUUUGAGCGUCGAAUAGUUGGCGAUGAAUCUGAUGAAUCUGAUGCGCAGAAUGGAAGCAAACGAUAGGGCAGUUAAAGUCAUUGGCUGCACUCAAUUAUUAGAAGGUUGUUACAGAGGUAAGGCUGUUGCUGAGUAACAGUAUGCCAUGCUGGCAAGUUUGCUAUAGCAGAUUGCCAAGCUGGCACUAAUUAUUUUAAACUAAUAUUAGUAAUUAGUCUAGAGUGCUCUAAUUUAUUUUAUUCUAUAAAUAGCUCAUUUGAGCUUUGAACCUGUAACGUGUACUGUACUUUUCUAUUACCUCUAAUAAAGUUUUUCUCUGUUCUUUUUUCUUUCACUUUCUCUUCUAUUUUCCCGACCCUCAAACACCCUCAAUCGUUGAUUUUCUAGAGUAUUAGCUGUCUGGUUCUACAAACAUAGAACUGGUGUUUGUUUGUUUGUCUAAUUACCUUUAAGAAACAAUAUACUCCACCCUGCGGCCUCUUCGUUUAUUGACUUAUUACUUGUGAUCAAGGCUCAAUGAAGGGCAAAUAAGAUGUUGAGCCAAUCGGCCCAACAUCACAGAUCUUGAAUUGAUUGCCUCUUCUUUUCUCCACAAAUCUUUACUUAAUUGUUAUGUUUCCUCAACUUUUUUCCCCUUUUUGUGCUAAUUUUUUUUUUUGAUACUUUAUGCAAAAAUUAUGAUGAAAAUUAAUUAGUUUAGAACAUCAAUAAAUUUUUGUUACAUUCAAGAUAAGGACAAUUACACUUAGAUCACUCUUAUUUAGUUGAAUUAUAGGUAAUAAAAUUAGUUUUAACAAAAUAUGAUUCUUAACCCUCGUAAUUAAAGGCUCGUGUUAUUUGGUUUAGUUAUAACACCAUGCAACAGGUCGUCUUGGUGGGUUCAAAUUAAUAUACGAUCAUUCUCAAUUUUUAAUAGUUUGUAAUUAAAAAGCCCUACAUCACAAUUAGAAUUUGCAAACAUGCCAAAGUGAGUUAAGUCAAAACCUAUAAAUUUGAGGUCUACUACAAACUUCUGACAAAUUAAAUUUAAAACGAUUAAUUAAAUGCUAGACAAAAUUUAGCUUAUUAAUGUUCCUGACCACAUGAUGAAUGUACUUAAAACAUCCUAAUUGGUCACUAAUUGAUUAGUUAUUAUUUUUUCAAUUUCUUUUUAUAUAUCUUUGAAACUUCUAGUUUCCUAACAUAUUAUUUGCAAUUCGUGUAAAUUAUUAUUUUUUAAAUAUUAGAGCAACAACCAGUAUAAAAAUGAAAUGCACUCAUUUAAUGGAAAUUUUUCUAGAUGCUUCAAUGGCAGAAUCUCGUUGGUCUAUAACUCUCACGCCUUUGAUUCAAGAUUCAAUUUCAAACCAACGCCGAACAAACAGUAUAAACCUUAAUAAGUCUGUGGCUGUAGCCCAACAAACCUACUUCCGGCUCACCGAAUAAUCAUCUCUUACGUCGGAAUUUAAACUUAAACAAAGCUACAUCCCACGUGUCCCCAACUUUCUUCAUAUUUCCAUAAAACCCCUACCAGAUCCAGAUAAUUACCUUCACUCUUCUCGUAUAAAUAGAGAAGAUGAUGAUUCCUACAAAGCCACGUAAGUCAAGCGAACGUUACGGCCAUGGCACAUUGGAAUUGGAUCAAACCACCGGAAUGCAAAGCAAAAUUAACCAAAUAAACUAAAUUAGAUCCAACCAAUUGAAUCGGUUAAUGAAUCAGUUUAGUGUCACUCAAAAAACAAAUAAAUAUAUAAAACCACACAAUUAUCAUAUUAAUGGGGCACUUUUAUCAAACACUAUAGGAUCAACUAGUACAAAAUGAAUUCAUUUGGGAUACGUUUAACGUACUGUGCUAUGGUGUAUUGCAUUAACAUACAUUAUAUUAAGUUAUAAUGUUAUACUUUGAUAUAGUAUAAAUUGUAUUAUAUAAGGUAAUGUUUUAUAUUAAUGUUAAAACUAAAUUAAUAUUAUUUAAAUUUAUUAAUAUUUUAGGUUUUUAUUAUUAAUUUUUUAAAAUUAAGUAUUAAAAAUUAUUUUAUAGUAUAUAAAUGAGUUCAUAAUAUAUUAUUAUUAAAUGAUAAAAUAUUAAAGUACUAUGUUAUAUUAUUAAAAAUUGUUAUAUUAUAAUAUAAUUUAUUUCUAGAUAUUAAUUAUUAUAAUAUAGUAUAAUCAUAUAAUAAUAUAAUAUAAGUUAAUAUUAUAUUGUAAAAAUAUAAUACUGCACAAUUAUUUAAUAUAAUGUAAAUUAAUUUAUAAUAUAAUAUUAAAUUAUAAAUUUAUUAAAUAAAAUUAAAAUACUUUUUACGUAUUUAAAGUAAAAUAAUUAAAAUAAUUUAUGUAAUAGAAGUAUGAUAAUGUAUUAUCAUUUUCUCAUUAAAUAUUUUAGGUUUAUUAAUUUGUUAAAUUAUUAUUUAAAUUAAAAUUAAUUGUUUAAGUGUAAAUAUAAAUAUAAAUGAAUGUUUAAUAAAAUCUACUCCUAUGGAUCUAUUUUAUACACUUUUUAUUCUAUAAAUCACGCAUAUAAUGUAGUUGUAUAAUAGAAACUGGAUAUGUAAUGGAAGCCAAAUUGCGCACGGUUUGUGGGUCUGUCAAAAAAUGAUAAAAAGACCAAUAUGAUAGACUGACUCUGUCCUCUUUAAUAUUUUUCUAGAUGCUUCCGUGGCAUAGUCUCAUUGGUCCAUUUUUCUUCACGGCUUAGAUUCAACUUCAAAAAUCAAUUUGAAGCAAACACAACAAUUCAACAAAUAUAAUAAGCGUCGAUAAGCUUGUAGCUGACUGGCUGUGGCCAAGCAAAAUGUACCUCAUGGUUACCGAAUCAUAUCUUACGUCAGAAUUUUGAACUUAAACAAUGUUCUCAUUCCACGUGUCACUCUCUAACCAAUACCCAAACUUUUAUCAUAUUUCCAAAGAAACCCCUACCAAAUCAAGGUAAUUACCGUCACUCGGCUCAAAUAAAUGGUCUCCUCAAUUCAACUGAUGACGACAUAUCCUCAUAGUCUUUAUUUAGAAGGGGAAAUUAUAAAAAAAAGGGUUAUUUUUAGGAACUUUCCCUGAAGUUUAGUGUAUUAACAGUCUGAUAAAAAGUAUUUAUGUAAUUAUAAGUAUUUCCCUUAACAUUAGUAUAAAAAUACGUAAACGUCAGUAUAAAAAGGUAAACAAGUAAAAGUAAACUUGAAAUUUAAACAAAAUCAAAAUUCAAGCAAAAUAUGUUUCGAUGUCUGUGAAAUAGAGACUUAAACACACCAUUACCCAGUCCAAAGUCAUUAUCCAGUAGAUGAAAGAAAAUGAUUUUUUCACAAAGGGUACUUCUCCUCGUAAACACAGCUUACACUUGAACAAAACCCACCAUCAUUUUCAUCCAUGGAGAAGAAGCGUCUGCAACUCACAAAUAAUUUCUGAAAUCAUUGAUUUAUUUUCAUCUACUGCACAAGAUGACGUCGUGCGGUGGUCCAGAGCUUCCAAGAAGCGAGUAUUGCCAGCAUCUAGCAUCUACCGUGACUGGAAUUAGAUCGCAAGAAGAGGUCAGUCUUCGAAAACACAGCUUGCAUGCUUGAAUCAGUGGCUUACAAGAUAUUGUUGUUAUUUUAUUGAUUAAAAAUAACAAUGGGUCUGUUUUAAUGAAUGAAAAUGGUGUUGGAUGUUGUUUCUCUCUAGGGUUGUUAGUGUUGAGUUGAAAAAAACUAUUGGGUAAUGACUGAUAAGAGCAAUUUCCUAAUGAUUUAAGAGCUGUGUAAGUACUAGAUGUAGUUCAUCAAAGAUGGGUUUCGAUUUGCUUAUAAUCUGAUAAUCUUUUAGAGAACCCACAGUGGUUUAUGUGAUUGUUCAGUUUGGGGUCAUGACACUAAUUGAGUUGUGUGCUAGUUUCGGUUUGUGCAUGCCUUUGGUGUUCUUUUGCCUUAUUGUUGUAAUUCCUUCAAUAAUUUGGCGGUGUUGUUUUUUUUUUUUUUUUUGAGAAGGUAAUUUUGUAUUUGCUAAAUAAUGUGAUUGUAAUCAGAGGUAACUUAAGUAUAUUGUUCUACACACAAUUUUUGCUCCCACGUGAGAUGUUCUCUGUGUUUUUGUCUAAGGCUUUUGUUUGUUAUUCAAACUAGAAAAUAGUGGAUGCAAGACUAUGAAUUUGGCAUGUGAUAAACUUUGAAAUUGCCCUUUUUCUAGAUUAAAAAAUAUUGACUUGCCAUUUUCCUUGUUUGAUUCUAAUUUUCAAACAAGUGUGCCGAAAUCUUAAGUUCGAUUACAUGUUGUUUAUUGUAUUUCUUAUUUCAAAGUCUGUAAUCUAUCUGCGUGCAUCAUUUCAGAAGAAGAAUAAGCAGCUGCAGCAAGUCCAUUAGUUUAGGUGUUCCGAGUAUGACAGAGAUGAUGCUCUAGAUCCAGGUUUGAGGCACCAACAAAACUCGAAGAUAUCAAUUAUAGAGUGGGAUUUUCAGGACCUGAAAUCCAAUUUAAUAUUUACUUGAUCUGGGUUUAAAUAUGGAUGGAGCAAAGAUUGGUAUCAGAAGGGUUUUAUUGUCGGUGCCAACGCCUGUACUAUCAAGUUUACAAUAUGAAAAUCAUUUCUUUUAAUAGCUCUGCUCUUGUGGCAUGUAUUAGUUAUGAAGUAGUUUGUAAUAAAAAAAAAAUCACAAUAAUAAUAUGCAUGCAGGAUGCAGCUAUGCCGCCACACAUUAUUUCAAUUUUUUUAUUAUUUUGCAAUGUCAAUUUUUUUAUUAUUUUGCAAUGUCAAUUUUUUUAUUAAGCAAUUUCAUUUUUUUAUCCAAUGGAUAUUUUCAUCUUCUUAAGUAAUUUGUGAUUUUGGCACGAAUUACCCAUCAGUUCAUCAGCGAAUAAAGAAAUAUUUUGACAGGAAGGGUAUUUUUGGAUUUUCAAUAGUCAACUAACAGUCCACUUAACAGAAUACAAAUGUCAGGGGAGGUCUUUGUAAUUACGUGAAUACUUUCUAUCAGAAUGUUAAUACACCAAACUUCAGAGGAGGUCCUUAAAAAUAACCCUAUAAAAAAAUCCCCUCGUUCUCUAAAAAUAUGAGGUUUUCUCAAGAAUAGCUAAACCUCCAUCACAAUCCUGAAAAAUCUCAAUUUAACCUCUCUAGGGUUUCGAUUGUCGGGGAUUCGCUUCAAAAUUUUGUAUUAUUUUAGUGGAUUUUGCUUAUCUCGUAUCCUUCAAUUGUUAGUUCAGUUCUGAUAAUAAUUUGGAAUUCAGUUUGAAGGGUUAAGCGCAAUUUCGAAAUUUUUUAUACAAUUUAAAUUAAAAUUGAUAGAACAAUUGGGCGGUUAAUAAUUAAUUGAUGGCUAGUGACACUACAACGGCGCCCGCGCCCGCAGCUCCGGAAAAAGCGGAGGCGGUGGAGGAGUAUGAUAGCAAUCCAGAUGAAGUGAAACGCUGUCUUGUGACGCACAGAAGGGAAGCCAGCGAUGACGAGGACGUGGUGGAGGAGUACGAGAGCGAUCCAGAUGAAGUGAAACACUCUCUCGUGAUGCGCAGAAUGGAAGCAAGCGAUGAUAAGGAGAAGGAGGAUAAAGAAUUCGAGCGUUGAAUGAACCGUAGGGUCCACAUUCAUUCUUACGAUGAAUCUGAUGGCCAAGGUGGUGUCCAGCUGAGUAUGAUGAUGAUCACCUCUCUCGACCAGUUCAGGUUCAAGGGAAGGGUGCUCGAGGGGUACUUGUCUUGUUUAUCAUUUUUGUUUAAUUUUCAUAAAUUCGACGACCCACAAUUCAAUUAUGAGUGAAGAGUUUGUUAAAAAACUGUGGUCUUCCAUUUACUAUAACUAAGUCCGUGUGAUGUAAUUAUUUUUCUGUCACUUAAAUGUCUUGAAAAUUAUGAAUACAUUGUAGGAUUUAGAAGGAUUCUAAAGUUUUAAUGCAUAUGGGUUUUUUAUGUCCAUCCACUUAUGCGUAUGCUGCAUUUUAUGAUUAUCGUAGUUGGUAGAUUGACAAAUGGACCUUAAUUACAAGUCAAAUAACCUAAAUACUUAUCGGCCAAAGGAAGCCAUUUAUAGUAAUUUCUAGUGAAGCAAAGUAAAAUGAUUCAUACUGGCAAAGAAAAUUGGAAAAGAAAAGGAGGAUUACUGAUCCACACAGUGUCGUUUACUAAAGGUACGUUGAUCUUACACUUAAUUUAUUAUAUAUCCAUUUAUAAUGUUCAAAAUGAUAAUGUACUAUUUCUUAAAUUAGGCUUUCAAAACAUCAUUUUGAUAAUGCAUAGUUGUGAUGUGUCUCUAAAUUCAGUAAUACAAGUUCUUUCCUGUUACUAAUGGAUGAAGUGACUUGAAAUAGUUUAAUAUUUAUUUGCAGUAAAAAAGUUGAAAAAGGAACUAACAAUUUACAUGCGUUUUGCUGAAAAUUUAGUUAGUUUCAUUUGAAACUUGCAUGGGCAUUAAAUGCUGGCAUAAUCUCUUUGACUUCUCUUGCAUUUGAAUGAAUGGAUCAGUGUUAAUGCAGGCAAAGAUUUUCUGGACUUUCAUGGAUGCACAAUAAAUGCUACGUCAAAGGCCUGGUAAGAUGUCAGCAAGCUGGUCGAAGAUAUCAACCUGAUUUGGUGGCUGCAAGAUUUGUUCAUCCAGGAUCGUUUUCUUUGACAAUGAGAAAGCCCCAAUGUCUAUAAAUUGAGAACUCACUGAAUUGUAGAGAGAGAGAGGAAAGUGAAUAACGGGAGAGCCAGUGAAAAGAGAGUGUGGGAAGAUUUGGGUGUAAUUGGGGUUUGGGUGUGAGAUAAAAUAAUCAGAGAGUGGUUGUAAUAAUUUUUUAUAUAGUGAAAUUUUUUUGUCUCGUUAUUUUUUGCAGUGGUGGUUUUUUACUCUAAUAAAAGAGUCUUCCAAGUAAAUUUUGUGUGUUAUGAUUGGGAUAUUCACCAUUUUAGUUUUCUAUUUAUUAUUUGUUUUACAUAUUGCUAGUAAAAAUCUGGGGCGGGAACCGAAAAUUCCCAACAAUUAUUAAUUAUUUUAAACUCUGUUCUGAACAGUGCAUGAAGGAUCAUAUUCACUUCACUUCACUUCACUUGAUUUCAUCUUGUCCCUCUCCUUUAUAAAAGUUGCAUAUAUUGGAGUAUCAAGUUCAUCACAAGGAUCAUAUUCUGGCUAACGAAGGAGCACAGUUCAUUGGCUGCACUCAUGUGUAGCAAAGUAUUUGGAUUCAAGACUGUUAGAAGGUCGUUACAGACGCAAGACUGCUGCUGUGUAACGGUAUGCCAUGCUGGCAAGUGGGGCAGUGCGCUAUAACAGAUUGCGGAGGUAGCACCAAAUAUUGUGAACUAGUAUUCGUAAUUAGUGUAGAGUGUUCUGAUUUAUUCAUUUGUGCUUAAAACCUACAUGUAUUGUACGUUUCUAUCGGUAAUUUGUUCUGAUUUUUUUUUGGGGCCAAUUGCAGUUUUGAUAACAACUAAAAUCUGUGUGGUCCGGUUACCACAAAGCCUAUAAUGAUUGCAAUUACUGUAUGAUCAUUUCCCCAACUAUUAUUUGAAUAAUUGGUCCAGUUACCACAAAGCCUUGCCCCAGAUCCCUGCCAUUUUCUCCUCCACCUCCAUUUGGGGAAAUUACUACUUACUUUUUGCAAGUUUUUUGUGAAAUAUUUAUUUUGAGAAGAAAACCAACAAUACAUUUUAUGAUUUGGGCUGUUUCAAAGAUCUUCGCUUGAUGUCUCUGCUACUGGUUUUCAGCAGAGUGCCCAAAAAUAGUUUUCAGCAGUACAAAAAGUAUAUAUUUUGUACCUUCCAUACAUUUUGCUUUGUUAAUGUUAUUAUUUGAUAACAUGUUUGUCGAGUUGCACAGUGUAUAAAUGCUAUACAAAUACACUCCUUUCAUUUUAUACAACUUUGAUUGAUCAAGUUGUAUCUCUUUGAUAAUAUGUUCUAUCUCCUUUCAUUUUAAACUUCAAUUGAGUUGCUAUCUAUUUAACUUUGGCAAGUCAGAGAGAGGGAUGGGACUGUCCAAUUAAAAUUAAGUUCCAAGUGCCAAUCCCACCAUUGUCGUCUCUUGUUUGCCAAAUUCAAAUUUGAAAAUCUCACCAAGUCAGUAUGGUGAUGUUGUGGGAUUGUCUGGCCUAGGUUUUUAGCCUCAUGAACUCCUUUAUUAGAAAAAGUCUUAAGUGUUCUUACUCAAUGGUAGAAUCAUAAUUUUACUUCAAUGGAAGCCAUAAUGAUUAAAAUAUACUCUUUUGAUUAAUUACUUAUUUGAUGUUGCUCUCUCUACCUUCAUCUCCUUCUUUAUGAAAAAUUUAUUGUAAUACAUGGAAGUAUAUAUUGCAUUGAAUAAAAUGAAAUUGUUCAAAAAUUAACAAAUUCAGCUUUAUUAUAAUCUAAAACAAAGUAAAUAAAAUAAUACCCAUCAUGUAAAAAUAAAAAAAUAAAAAUUUUUGUACCACUUUGAAUCUAUUUUAAAUUUUUUUGGUCAAAUCUCAGAAGCACAAACUUUGAACAAUAAUAAUAGGUAAAAACUAAUAAUCUUAUAAUAAAAAGUAAGAAAAAAAUAAAGUUGAUUUAGCAUGUAAGAAUAAAAAAAGAAAAAUAGAAAGAGAGAGAAAUUAGCUUAGGCUUUAACUAUUGUUAUAGUAGAGAAGUAAUUUUAUGACCUUUUAGAAAUGAGUGAAUUAAAAUAGUAAGUUAUAAUUUGAUAACUAUCUUAAUUAAAAAAGUGGGUGUUGAAAUAAAAUUAAUGGAUUCAAAUAGCCCACCCAAAAUCCAAAAUUGCAUACCAAUUAUUUUCUAAUUUACAUAAAGUUCUUCUAUUUUUUUUUUAUAACAUUUGAUUCUCAAUUGGUCUAAUGGAGAAACAACCAGCAAAAAAAUAAAAAAUAAAAAAUAAAAAAUAAAAUGAAUGCAAUUAAACCGAAAUUCGUAAAAGAGCCGUAUGACAUUUAUGUGCAAGCAAAAUUGCAUUCUGUUUAUGGGAUCCUGGAAAAAAUAAAAGAAAGAAAACAGAGUAAGACGCUUUCGCUGUGGGCUUUAAUAUUUUUCUAGAUGCUUCCAUGGCAGAUUCUCGUUGGUUGAUUUUUCUUUACGCCUUAGAUUCUAUGAUUCAAUUUCAAUCAAAUACGACAAACAAAAGAAGCUUUUAAGCCUGCAGCUGAAAUAGAUGGUACUUUAAUUUUCAGCUGAACAUAUAUAUGGUAAGAUUAUUAUUAUUGAGCUUGAUGAGGCUAUAGAAAAUUCAAUAUCGAGAUCGGAUAAGGGUCCAAUAAAUUAUAAAAAUAAAGCAGCUCAAAGCCCAUAUGAUCAUGGGCCAGGCCACUACUUGCUCAUGCUUUGAAUCAAAAUUAGUGACGUUGGAAGCUGAAAGGGGCAAAUGAUGAAAUGGGGUUCAUCAUAUAGUAUGCCCAACGGGGUAAGAUCAUCAUUUAAUUGCCUCCUCCUCUUGUCGAUAGAUAUUUGCCUAAAUUUUUCUAUUUAAAAAAUAUUAUAUUGGUUAGUAUAAUUAGAAGUUUUACAAAAUAUAAGUAUAAUUUUUAAAAAAAAUUAUAUUUGUUAAUCUAAAUUUACAUCCAAGAUCACGACAAUUACACUUAGAUCACUCUUAUUUAGUUGAAUUAUAUAUGUAAUAAUGUUGGCUUAACAAAAUAUGAUUCUUGAUCGUUGUAAUUACGAGCUGGUAUUCUUUGGUUUUAGUAGUAGGGCUUAUAACGUUGUGCAACAGUUCUUGGUGGGUUCGAAUUAUUAUACGAUCAUUCUUAGUUCUUUACGAUACGUAAUUAAAAAUUCUUAUAUCACAAUUAGAACUUACAAACAAGUCAAAGUGAGUUAAAUCAAACGUAUAAAUUCGAGGUCUAUUACAAACUUCUAAAAAAGAUUUUCUUUGUUCUUUUUUCUUUCACUUUCUCUUCCAUUUUGCCAAUCCCCAAACACCGCCAAUCCUUGAUUUUUUAAGUAUUAGCUGUCAAUUUCUACAAACAUAGAACUGCUGUUUGUUUGUCUAAUUACUUUCAAGAAACAAAACUGUUUGUCAUGUGGUCUCUUCGUUUAUUGGCUUGUGAGCAAAUAAGAUAUUGGGCCGAUGGGCUUAACGUGACAAGUUCUUGAAUUGAAUGGCUUCUCUUUUUUUCAUAAAUCUUUGCUUAAUUUUUUUUGUUCUCUCAACCUUUUUUGGCCUUUCGCGCUAAAAUUCUUUUUUUGAUACAUUAUGCAAAAAUUAUGAUGAAAAUGAGUUACUUUAGAACAUCAAUAAAUUUUUAUUACAUCUAUAAUAAGACAACUAUAGUGAGAUUAUUCUUAUUUAGUUGAAUUAUAUGUAAUAAAAUUAGUUUAACAAAAUCUAACUCGUUAGUAUUCCAUAUCACAUGAUUAACGUAUUUAAAAAAUCUUAGUUGUUCCGUCGCUUGUUUUACAAUUCUUUUAUAUAUCUUUGAAACUUUCUGCUUUCUGACACAUCAUAUUGUUCUCAAUUCGUCAAAAUUAUUUGUUUCUUCAAACACUGCAGCAACAAUCGGUAUAAAAAAGAAUGAACUCAUUUAAUGGGAAUUUUUCUCAUUGGUCUAUUUCUCUUCGCACCUUAGGUUCCUCUAACAAACUUAAAAGAUGUUCCCCAUCCCACGUGUCUCCAAAUCUUCGUAUUUCCAAACAAACCUCUGCCAAAUAGAGAAGAGGAUGGCUUUUAUUGCAAACUGUAUGAGCGUUAUGGCCAUGCAUGGGACAUUGGAUCCAAAUGAAACCAAUGGAUUGUAAAGCAAAAUUACCGAUUAAAAAUUCAAACAAUUGAAUCGGUUUGGUGUCACUUAAAAAAAUAAAUAAUAUAUAAAACAACACAAUUAUCAUAUUAAUGAGCCACUGUUAAAUUCAUUCAGUCAGUAUUUUUCUUUUCCCAUUUUCAAUGAAUGCUUAAUAUGGAAAACAAUAUGUCCCAUUGAGCACUGUUUAAAUCAUUCCCUAGUUUGUUUAACACGCAAAGAAUAUUCUUAUUCAGCUCGGCAGCCAAUCCGUUAAAAUUUAUUAAAAUUCAUUUAAGUGAUGACUGUGAUAUGACUCGAUCAAUCGUUUAAUUUGUAUAAUUUAUAAAAAUUUGAGCUUCAAGUAAUGUAGAUAGAAUGGUUAAUUAUUUUAAUAUUAAGAUAAAUUGAUAUAUGUCAUUAUAUUAUGAGUGGAUGAAAUAUCCAAUAGAAAAAAAAAUGUUUAUAUUCGUCAUUUUUAGUGGGAAUCUAUUUAGUGUAACUUAUCCAUAAAAAUGGUUGACGACUUAUCUUGGUUCUCAUUUUGUUUAAUUUUCAUAAAUUUGACUAAUGAUUAAUUGUGAGUGAGUGGGGCUAAUUAUCCGUGGGGCGGCAUCAGUUGCUGCUUGAGUGGAGCUGCGCUUUAUCCAUAAAUCUGGUCUUCCAUUUAUUUUGUAGGAUUUAAAAGAUUAAAAAACUUUAAUACAUAUAAUUUUAUGUUCGAAACUAAAUACUGGUAGCAUUGCUGCUUCUAUAAAUAACUCAUUUGUGCUUCCAACAAUAAUUCACGUUUUUGUUUCUCUUCAUAAAGAUUUUCUUUUUUUUUCUUUUUUCCAUUCACUUUUUCUUCCAUUUUCCCGACUCCCAAACACCACUAAUCCUUGAUUUUCUAGAGUAUUAACUGUCCGUUUCUACGAACAUAGACCUACAGUUUGUCUAAAUACUAUCAAGAAACAACGUACUCUGUCGCGGGAUCUCUUCGUUUAUUGACUUUUGACUUGUGAACGGGGCUAAUUAAAGGGCGUUCCUUUCUUCAAGAAAGAAUGCAAAGAAAGUACUAUCCAUGAGACACGUUAAAAAUUAUUUUACAUAAAAAAUGAUAAUAAUCAUAAUAAUCGGUUAAGGAUCGACAAAAAUGUUAUAACCUAUAAAGCAUGGAUAAUUAAUUAAUGGGAAUGCACCUCUCAUCUUUACCAUUCUCUUUGUCAUUUUCAUAAUUCAGCUGUUUAUUAAUAAAGUGAAUAAAUUUAUCUUUUAAUAAUAUGUUUCUUGGCUGUUUUUUUGUGUAUUUUUGUGUACAAUUUUGUGUGCAAAUAGCAUUAUUCAUUAGUAAUUAGUUUGGAGUAGCUCAUUUUGAGCUUAGGACCUGUAACUAGUAUUUUAUGUUUCUGUUAAUCUUUAAUAAAGAUUUUCUCUAUUUUUUUUCCCUUUCACUUUCUCUUCCAUUUUCCCCGACUCCCAAACACCACCAAUCCUUGAUUUUCCAGAGUAUUAGCUCUCUAUUUCGACAAACGCAUAACUGUUGUUUGUCUAACUACUUUCAAGAAAUAACGUAGUCUGUGGUUUAUUGACUUGCGAACGGGGCUAAUUAGUCACGGUCCGAUUGUCUGACUUCUCCAUUGACUCGGUCAAUUCACGACCUUGACCUGUACAGUUGAUACAAACGGACUUCUCCAUUUGAGGUGUACAAAACUUUCUUGAGUCAUUUUGUUUGGUGAUGAUGAAUUGGAUGUCAGUUCAUGAGUUUCAUGAUGAAGAGGACCAAAAACAUUAUUUUAUUAUUUAAAGAAGACUAACAAUUAUUUCGAUGGUCAUUUUAUUUUUUAUUUUUAAAUAUCCAAGGUGCUUGACUUCUUUACACAGAAUUACAAAGCAAAAUAAUUAAGAAACUAAAUACUCGUCAUCCAAGUGAGAAGAGAUUGGGUUGUUGAUACAUUAAAUAAAAGAAAAAUCAAUUAAAAGCACAACAAUUCAAUAAUUUCAUUCUCAAUCAUAUAAAAAAUAAAAUUUACUGUACAUUGUUGUUCGGUUCUGUAAAAAAAAAAAAUUAUUAGGGAUUUGCAGUUUUUUUUAGUGUAAUUUUCGUUAAUUACAGUUUGGUCUGAAGGGUUAAGCACAUGGAUCAUAAUCAUAUUAUGGCCUAAGGAAGGAGCACAGUUCAUUGGCUGAACUCAGUUUACAGAAUAUUUUGGGAUUCAAGACUUCAGGUUGUUAAAAAUGCAACUUGCAAGGCUGUUGCUGCGUAACUGUAUGCAAUGCUGGCAAGUGUGCUAUAACAGAUUGUUGAGAUAGCACCAAAGAUUGUAAACUAAUUAGUACUGGAAAAUCCUAUUUGCACAAACAAUUGCACAAAAUAAAUAGAAUGAGAAUACUUAUGCAAAAAAAAUAAGAUUAAUAAAGUGAAUAAAUUUAUCUUUUAAUAAAAUAUUUCUAGUCUUUUAGUGUUUUCGUGUAUUUUUGUGUACGUGCAAAUAACAUUACUCAUGAGUAAUUAUGUUUUACGUUUCUAUUAUUUUCUAAUAAAGAUUUUAUCUGUUUUUGUUUUUUUCCCCCCUUUGAACGGGGCUAAUGUUGGUCUAACUGCUUUCAUGAAACAACGUACUCUGCGGUUAAAAUUAAUUGAUCAUUUUAUUUGGUGAUAAUGAAUUGGUUGUCAAGUCAUGAGUUUGAUGAUGCACAGGACGAAAAACGUUAUUUUAUUAUUUAAAAUAUGACUACCAAUUAUGUUGAUGGUCAUUUUAUUAUUUAAAAUAUGCAAAUGGAAUCUUACCGAACUAUAGUGCUUGACUUCUUCAUACAGUGCUUGACUUCUUUGUACAGAAUUAUAAAGUGAAAGAAAUUACGAAAUUAAAUACUUUUCAUGCGAGUGGGGGAGAAAUUCUGUAUAUUUAUGAAAUAACUAUUGAUUUCACUUCGGUAAUUACUUUUUAAAAGUAACGUAAACAUUUUUAUUUUAUUUGCAUUCGAGCUUUCUUUCUUUUUCGCUGGCCUUUACUCUUGACCGUAUUUUCAUGGGGCAUAUUCAAUCUGAAUCCUCUGCAAGUUUGUGGCAGUUUGGUUAGUUACGAACUUUUGUAGAAUUGCAUGAAGAUGACGCUUUUAUAGACAUUUUUUCUUUUUUCUUUUUUUCUUCAGUGAACAUAUUAAAAAUUUAGUUUUUUGUCAUCAUGACUAGAACAGUAAAAUGAAAAUAGUCCUCAUUUCGACGAUUGACAAAAAUGUUGUACUCAUACCGAUUAAUGGGACACUGAUUUCGUCUUCUUAAAAAAUUAUUAUUGCAGUGAGGUAAUUGGAUCGAAGAUGGACGAUUUCCAUAUUUGCCUAACCUAAGUGAUAAGAAUUUUCAUAUGGGACAUAAUCUGAUUUGUUUUGCUUGACUGUAUUCCAAGAGACAGUCAUAUCUACUAAAUGAAACAAAUCUUGCUUUUCUAGAGAAAUAAUGCAAUAUGCAAUUAUGCAUGAAGGUGCGCAUCCAUGUGAGAAAGUUGACGAAAGCUUCUUUUUCAGUAUUGUUGGAAUAAUGGUAUCGAUUGGAAUUGUAAGGAAAGAGGUCUUCGAGUCGUGGACAGCUGAACCGAAGAGAGCAGAUGAAUGCCCUUUGCAGAAGCAGGAAAUAAGCUGCCUAAAAGUAAGCAUUAGAUGAAUGCCCGAUCGAACACCACUAAUUCCAACAAUAUAUCAAAAAAAAUCUUUGAGUUUAAGGAAUUAAUUUUUUAAAUAUUUGAUAUAUGUCAUGUUCUGACUUAGUACAAGAAGAAAAUUAUAGAAUUUUUUUUUAAAUUAAUGGAAUUAUUUUACGAUAAAACAAUCACAAUCACAAUUAAAAAUAUUCUUUAAAAUUUCACUAUUUCUACUGUUAUUCUUUAAACUCUUUCUGAACAGAGCAUGAAGAGUCACUUAUCUAAAUAUGUUUUUUUUGUGCUUUCACUUCACUUGAUUCAUCUUAUCCCUCUUUUAUAGAACCUGCAACUCGUAUUUUACGUUUCUGUUACUUUCUCUUCCAUUUUCCCAACUCCCAAACACCAUCAAUCCUUGAUGUUACAGAGUAUAUUAAUUAAUUAAUGGGCCACUAAUUCUUCUUCUUAAAAGAAAAUUUUUGUAGGGAAAUUGGAAAAAAGGCUAAUUCAAUUUAAUUUUGAUAGGUGCGACAGAAGGAUAGGACCGUCCAAUUAAAUUGCAAGUGGGCAUUCCCACCAUUCGUGUCUCAUGCUUGUCAUAUUUAAAUUUAAAAAUCACACCAUGUCAGUAUGGUGAUGAUGUGGAAUUGUUUCACCGAAAUUUUUAUUUCGAUGGUGGCCAUAAUAAUUAGACUACUGAUUAAGUUGGUUGUGACAUAAAAUCAACGUUGUAUAAUUUUUUGGAUAUUAUCUCAAUUUUACUUCUGUAGGUUUGUUUUUUUGUAUAUUAUCUCAAUUUUUAAAAAAAUGUAAUUGCAAUUAUCAAACACGACUAAUCCCAACAAUUUAUCCAAAAAAAUUUUAUGAUAGAAUUGGCUAAUUUUUUUAAUCGACUUUCUGGAUAAAUGAUAAUUUUUUUGAUAGAAAUGUUACUUAAGUAUUACAGGAAGAAAAUUAUAGAAUAAUUUUUUGAAUUAAUAGUAUUACUUUACGAUAACACUAUCACAAUCUAAUUUUAAAAAAAUAAAGUUAUUCUUUAAAUUUCGCAUUACUAUUCCUACUUUUCUUGUUAUACUACUUAAUGGCACUGGUGAAGCCUCGAAUUAUCAAACAAAAAAGCAAAAAUAGUUCAAUAUCUGCUGUCCCACUGAGCAUUGUUAAAUUCAUACCAUAACAUGAGUACUUAUAUUAAAAAAAACAAUCGGUCUCAUUGCGUGCUCUUUCAUUGACAUAGGCAAUUUGCUGUCAACUUGUGGCACUUUUAUGAAUUUUCAAGACGGGUGAAUUUUUCAAAUUUAAAAGAAAAAAAUACAGAAAUGUAAUUUCAAUUUAUCCAAAAAUUUGAGUUUCAAGGAAUACAACAUUUAUUAUAUGUCAUGUUAAUAUAGAGAAGAAAAUUUUAAAAACUUCUUUUUGGAUGAAUAAAAGUAUUUUCUGAUAAAUAUUUCACAAUCAAAUUUAAAAAAUUUCACUCCUCUUGGUACAUAAUUUAAGAAUUUAAGAUUAUAAAUUAAUCUUUUUAAUCAAAGUAAUAAUCUCUCCUCGGUCUGCAAAUGCUAAAAUUUAAUAUUAUAUCCAUUGACAAUAUUUGCUCCAAAUUCACGAAAAUAAAAUUUCUAACAAAAUUAUGGAAUUCGUUACUAGAAAUUUGUAUAAAAGUUGUGAGAAUAGAAGGUUUGAUCAUAGGAAAUUAAUAUAUCCCUAUCCGAUGCAAAAAUGAUUGUAAAGAAAAACAAAAGUCAUGGGCUUAUUUAGAAAAAAAGAAAAAAUUACAUUCCAUUUUCCAGUUAUUAAAGUAAUUCUAAAAUCGCUAGGAUCACAAAGGAUAAGUUUUGGUUGACUGAGGUCAGCCUUAACGCAUGCCGGUCUUUUUCUCCUCUACAUUCUUAGAAAUUUUGGUUUCACUAUAAAUACUCGGUAUAUAGCAAACUUAUAAGUGUUCUUGCAUUACCAAUCCAACUAAGCACACGCUUACAAUAUAAAUACUCUCAUCUCAUGGAAAGAGCUCAUUCUCUCAUGAUGAUGAGCAGAUUUCUCUUACUCCAUUGUUUGAUUCUUAUUUCCUUAUUUAUCGCGGCAGCAACAGCCAACACAAGUUCUACUAUCACGGACCAAGAUGCUCUGUUGGCCCUGAAAGCUCACAUAACUCAUGAUCCGACCAAUUUCUUGGCCAAGAAUUGGAACACAAGUACUCCUGUCUGUAAUUGGACAGGCGUCGCUUGUGAAGUCCAUAGCCAGAGAGUCACAGUCUUGAAUAUUUCAAGCUUAAAUCUCACAGGCACCAUCCCUUCUCAACUUGGGAAUCUUUCUUCUCUGCAAUCACUCAAUCUCAGUUUUAACCGACUUUUUGGUUCCAUUCCCUCCGCCAUCUUCACCACAUAUACACUGAAAUAUGUUUGUCUCCGUGGAAAUCAGCUCUCCGGCACUUUCCCUUCUUUCAUCUCCAACAAGUCUUCUUUACAACAUCUUGAUCUUAGUAGCAAUGCACUGUCUGGUGAAAUUCGUGCAAAUAUUUGCAGUAAUCUUCCUUUUCUGGAGUACCUUGCUUUCUUCAAAAACAUGUUGCAUGGCGGCAUACCGUCCACGCUAUCAAAUUGCACAUAUCUGCGAACGUUAGAUUUUUCAUACAAUGAUUUCUCGGAGGCCAUACCUAAAGACAUCGGCAAUUUGACCAACCUUAAGGAAUUAUAUCUUGGCCGUAACAGACUCCAAGGUGCGAGUAAUCACGGAGUUUAAUUAUGAAAAUUGUUCCAUAAGUUGUAUUAUGAAUAAUGUUCCAUAAGAUAAUUUGCACGCGUUGAUUAAUUUGCAGGAGAAAUUCCUCGAGAAUUUGGCAAUCUUCCCGAAUUGGAGCUGAUGUCGUUAGCAGCAAACAAUCUCCAAGGUAUGAUUAGAAACUUUUUGCAAUUUUUUUCUAGCCUCUGCUUGCUUCUGUAUUCAUUCGUUUGUUCAUUAAUUAUGCUAUGAUUUAUUGUUUUUCUUUCAGAUGGAGAUAAAGCUCCAUGUCUCUCCUCACUCAUUUCAUUUCUUAAUUUAUGCAGAUAAAAAAAAAAUUGUUUUGUAAUUUUCUUUUGUCAUAUUGCCACUUCCGUUUUGAAGCUCCCAAUUAAGUCGAUGAAAAUGAAUGAUGUUUCAUUCUUAUUCUUGUCAGCCUAAUUCUUAUAUAAUUGAAGAGUAAAUUGUUAUUAUGAUAUUCGUCAGCCAAUAAAUUCUUUUUUUUUUCCCCCCAAAUAUGAGUGAUCAAAUUGUUUGCGCAUAUAUAUAUGUACUUAAUUUGCAGGAGGUAUUCCACACGAAUUGGGGAAUCUUGCAAAAUUGGAGAUCUUAGAGCUGUUCGAGAAUAACUUGACCGGUAACUUUCUUUACGAUAUAUAUAUGAGACAUCUUCCGCUUCUUAAUUAAAAGAUUUCAAGUCUCUCAUUAUAAAAUAUAAAUUCUCAUAUGAGGAUGUGUAGUUAUCACUAUCUAACAUUAUUCCGUUUUUUAUUAGAAAUUAGUUUGUGUUAACUCAAAAUUCCAUAGCAUUUAAAAAAAAAUUAAAAACACGUAGAAUAAAUCGUCAAUCUUUCUUCUUUACUGAAUUUGGAUUUCUCAAAAAUUAUCUGCACAAGUAUGGUUCACUAAUGAUAUACAUGUGUGACAACUUCAUAAAAUAUUUCACUAAUUAUCUUUAAAUAAUUGGAGAUACCAUCAGUGAUACAUAAUUUCCUAACAAGCACCAUACCAAAAGAAAUCAACAAUUUUUUUAAUAUUAAAGAGUUACAUCUUCACUGCAAUUAUGGCAUAAUUUUUCAUCUAAAAAAAUUUUUAGUCAUCAAUCGCAUAAUAUUUUAUCUUAACGGUUGAUGUUCAAUCUUGGAAUUUAUAAUAUCUUGAAGGUUAGUAGCUAUUAAAAUUAGAAAUUGUUUAUUUGCUAAAAAGUUAACUUAGUGUUUAAGCUUUUCAAUUGAAAAUUUUGAAACAAAUGUUGAGAACUGGUCCUCCUUAGAAUUUCAGCGGAUAAAUAUGAAAAUAGACUUGAAAAAAAAUUAUUUUACUGAAAUAAUAGUUAAAAAGAGAGGAGAAGUACAGUACUCAUGACUUGGGCUUGCUGUGUCCUUAUUUUAUCUGACUAUUGGUACUAAUAAUAUUUAUAAUUACUUAGUAAAAAUAUAAAUUUAAUACUUUGUUAACAUUUUAUCUACGUAUAAUAAUUAAACUGAAACUUGUAUUUAAAACAUUUGAGUUACGUAUACUCAUUUCAUGACAUAAAAGUGUAUAUUUAUACUAAUUUACCAUUAUCAAUAAAAUGCUUUGAGACAAAUAAUCUAAUUUAUAUUAUUAUAUUUAAAAUACUUGCUUUUAUUAUAUUUUGAAAAAAAAUUAUUUGCAAUUAUUUUAAACCUUUGGAUUCAAUUUUUCUUAGUUAUAAAUGUAAAAUAGUCAAAAACAUAUUUGUAUGAUCAUUUUUCAAUGUAUAAAUUUUCUUGGUUAGUAGGAAAAUUAGAAAUUGUUGAUUUACUCAUAAAUAAAUUUAGUCUUUAGCAUUUCAAUUUUGGAAAACUUGAACUAAUUGUUGAUAACUUCGAAUCGGUCGAGCUUCGCUUCGCUUCCUUGUCCCACGGGCCUAUUGAAAGUUCUAUUUGAAUUGAGCUUCUUUUCAGCGUCACCACAAUUUAUUCACAAAUGAGUUGAUUAGAGUCGAAGUUGCCUGAGAGUCUAAGACCAUGUUAGUAGGAUAAAUUUGAAAAGAAAUUAUUUUACUGAAUUAAUUUAUUUUAUCUUGCUGUAAUUGAAAUACUACUCUUUUUUUUUGGGCUAUCACUGGGGCUUGAUUUACUUUAAGAGUCGCAGCCACCGACUUAGGCUUUUUUACUUCUCACCACACAAUUUGAUCUUUUAAUUCGUUUUAACCACAUAAUCUAUCUAUCUCUUACUUAAAUCGAAUACAUGUUUUACCUACUAAUUUUUACAAAUAUUAAUCAAAUAUAUUUUAUUACAUUUCUCUCGUAACUGCUCUAAAUGUGCACUAUUAAUACUUAACCCUCCCUUUUAAUUUACCGUGCAAUCUAUCUACACUUAAAUCACAUAUAUAUUUUACCUAUAGUUUACCCAAAAAAAAAAUAUAAAAAUAAAAAUAAAAGAAUAUGUGCAGCAAUUUGUAUAUAACUAACAAAGCAUUGAUGGUGUGUAGCCUUUCAAUACUUCAUGAGUGGCUUUUCUUGUGUGUUAGUACUUGUAAUAAUUGUGUAGUGUAUAAAUGACCUUUUAUUACGAAAUUGCGUCUGUUUUUUGAAUUAUUUAUUAUUUGAAAAAUAAUCUAAAUAUAAUUCUAUUAAAAUACAGGGAAGAUACCACUUAAAAUCGGCAAUCUCCGAAAUCUGGAGAAGUUGGACAUUGGUGAUAAUAAAUUAGUUGGUAUUGCCCCAAUCGCAAUCUUCAAUGUGUCAACACUCAAAAUUCUUGGCCUUCAGGACAAUUCUCUCUCGGGAUGUCUUUCGUCCAUUGGAUACGCCCGACUUCCAAAUCUUGAAAUCCUUUCUUUAUGGGGUAAUAAUUUCAGUGGCACAAUUCCUCGUUUCAUCUUUAAUGCUUCUAAGCUCUCUAUACUAGAUUUGGAAGGUAACUCAUUCUCCGGUUUUAUUCCCAACACAUUUGGCAACUUAAGAAACCUUAGUUGGCUGGUUUUAUCUGAUAAUUAUUUGACAUCUUCAACUCAAGAAUUGAGCUUUCUAUCCUCGUUGUCAAAUUGCAAGUUUUUAAAAUAUUUUGACUUAUCAUAUAAUCCAUUAUAUAGAAUUCUUCCAAGGACGACUGUCGGUAAUCUUUCUCAUUCUUUGGAAGAAUUUAAAAUGUCCAAUUGUAACAUUAGUGGUGGCAUCCCUGAAGAGAUAAGCAACUUGACCAACUUGAGAACCAUUUAUUUAGGGGGCAAUAAAUUGAAUGGAUCAAUUCUGAUUACUCUCAGCAAAUUACAAAAGCUUCAAGAUUUGGGUCUUAAAGAUAACAAAUUAGAAGGAUCAAUCCCAUAUGAUAUUUGUAAUUUGGCUGAACUGUAUAGAUUGGAUUUAGAUGGGAAUAAGCUUUCUGGAUCAAUCCCUGCAUGCUUCAGUAAUCUGACUUCUCUGAGGAUAGUGUCGUUGGGUUCCAAUGAGUUAACUUCUAUUCCCUUAACUUUUUGGAACCUUAAGGAUAUCUUGAACCUCAACUUUUCAUCAAAUUUUUUGACUGGCUCACUCCCAUUAGAGAUUGGAAGUUUGAAGGUUUUGGUUGGAAUUGAUUUAUCGAGGAAUAAUUUUUCAGGCGUUAUCCCAACAGAAAUUGGAGGCCUAAAAAAUCUAGAAUAUCUCUUUUUAGGAUAUAAUAGAUUGCAAGGCUCGAUUCCUAAUUCUUUUGGUGAUUUGAUAAGUUUGAAAUUCUUGAAUUUGUCCAAUAAUAAUCUCUCUGGGGUUAUUCCUGCAUCUUUAGAGAAACUCUCAUAUCUUGAAGAUCUAAAUCUUUCUUUCAACCAGCUAGAAGGAAAAAUUCCUAGAGGAGGAUCUUUUGGAAAUUUCUCAGCUCAAUCAUUUGAGGGAAAUGAAUUAUUAUGUGGUUCACCCAAUUUACAAAUCCCGCCAUGCAAAACUAGCAUCCACCACAAAUCAUGGAAAAAAUCUAUUCUCUUAGGGAUUGUCUUGCCAUUGAGUACUACAUUUAUGAUAGUAGUCAUUUUGUUAAUCCUAAGAUAUCGACAAAGGGGAAAACGACCAUCGAAUGAUGCUAAUGGGCCACUAGUAGCAUCAAGGAGAAUGUUUUCAUACCUAGAACUAUGUCGAGCAACAGAUGGAUUCAGUGAAAACAAUCUAAUCGGCAGAGGAGGGUUUGGCUCUGUUUAUAAGGCAAGCCUUGGGGACGGGAUGGAGGUUGCAGUGAAGGUCUUCACUUCGCAAUGUGGAAGAGCAUUUAAGAGUUUCGAUGUUGAAUGUGAAAUCAUGAAAAGUAUUCGCCAUCGAAACCUUAUCAAAGUUAUUAGCAGUUGUUCAAAUGAAGAGUUUAAAGCAUUGGUAUUAGAAUACAUGCCUCAUGGAAGUUUGGAGAAGUACUUGUAUUCAAGUAACUGCAUUUUGGAUAUUUUUCAAAGAUUGAACAUAAUGAUAGAUGUUGCAUCAGCUUUAGAAUAUCUGCACUUUGGUUACUCAGCUCCAGUAAUUCAUUGUGACUUAAAGCCCAGCAAUGUGUUGUUAGACGAUAAUAUGGUUGCUCAUUUGAGUGAUUUUAGCAUCGCAAAAAUGUUAACUGGAGAAGAUCAAUCUAUGAUUCAAACACAAACACUUGCCACAAUAGGCUAUAUGGCACCAGGUUUGUUCAAUAUGAAUAUUUUAUAUUUCUUGUUAACUUCCUAACAAGUUAUUUAUGUUUCAUGAUCUUUAUUAGAUGAGGAAAUUCUUAUUAAUGAUAUAUCUUACUAUGUAAAUGUUGCAAUUCAUAGAGUAUGGAAGAGAAGGACGAGUAUCCGCAAAUGGAGAUGUUUAUAGCUUUGGGAUUAUGUUAAUGGAAACUUUUACUGGGAAGAAACCCACAGAUGAAAUUUUUAAUGGAGAAAUGACAUUAAAGCAUUGGGUUAAUGAUUGGCUACCCAUUUCCACUAUGGAAGUUGUUGAUGCUAAUUUGCUAAGUCAGGAGGACAUACAUUUUGUUGCAAAAGAGCAAUGUGUGUCAUUUGUCUUCAAUUUGGCUAUGGAGUGCACUAUGGAAUUUCCUAAGCAGAGAAUCAAUGCAAAAGAAAUUGUAACAAAACUCUUAAAAAUUAGAGACUCAUUACUUAGAAAUGUUGGAGGCAGAUGUGUAAGACAAUCAAAUUUAAAUUGAUUCUGGCCCUCCUUCAUUGCUUGCUAUCCUUUUCAGAGACUUGAACGGUUAUCCUUCAUACAACUUUUGUUGAUAUGUUUUGUUACUGCUCUUGCUUUCUUUAAUUUGCAUGCAUGUAUUUUUCGUUCUCCUUUAUGUUUUUGUUGGUUUGAAUGUAGUUUGUUUUUAGGGGUAAGGUUGAUUAUGCCCUCUCCUAAUUACACGUAUCCUUUUUAUGUUUAUUCAAUAAAGCUUCUCUAAUACUAUUGAGGUUCAUCAAAAGAAAAUUUUAAAUUAAUUUUCUUUUCUUUGACAGGUAAUGAAAUUCUAAUCUUCAUAGAGAAUAACUUCAAUAAUAGAGUGUAAGAGUAUUAGUAGUUAUGGUUGUUUUCUGAACCUGGAGUCAAGAGCAAUUUGACAGCAACAAACAAGUCUCUUGUAUUAUAGGCAAAAUUCUUUUCAUUAAUCUUAUUUGUCCACAUGUUCUCCUAUUUUCUCCAUUAAUCUUCGCUCAAGGUUUCAUGCUUCCUCUUUGAUAAAGGAAAAUAUUACUCGCGGAUAUUUCAAAUUUUCAAUUUGACACGAGAGACUGUUUUGCCAGCCAUUUGAUAAAAUGGAUAUGAGUAGAGUUUUCAAUCAUUACCUCCACCAAAAUACUUACAACGCCACUUUUAAUUUUUUUUUAAAAUACAUUCAGUUUAAUUUAUAAAAAAAUAAAUCCAUUUGUUAAAUUUAAUCUUUUUCUCAUAAAUUUCAACCUAAAAAUAUAUUCCUUAUCUAUUUUUAUUAUAAAAUUCAUGCAAGUCCUAAACUAUUAAAUUAUUUUCUUCUUAUUAUAUAGUUUAUAUCUCCAUAACUCUAAACUCCCAUAAUUUUUUAAAAAUAUAUUUUUUAAUUUAAAAUAUAAAUAUAAAAUAGAGAAUGGAGUGGGUUAAAAAAUUGUUAAAAGAAUAAUUCAUUUAAGUAUUUAACUGAGUUUUAAAUUAAAAAUAAGAAAUAAAUUAAUUUAUUUUUUAUUAGUUAAGUAAUUUUCAAUUGAAAAAGAGCAUGAGUAAUAUUAUUGAAAUAUGAUUAAGUUCGUAUGAAUUAAACAUUUUUGUAUAAAUACUAGAGAUAAUUAUAGAGAAAGUACAAUGAAGUGAAAAAACUUAAACAUAAAUACUCUAGUAUAAUUUUACACACGCAAAUUAUGAACCAAUAAUCUUUGGAGCAUCAUAAAAUUGUUUUAACACAAUUAAUUAGUUUGAAAAAUUGCCAAUAAUGUCUAAAGUGGGAUUUAAAGGAUUAUACUACAUAUAUAAGACAUGAUAUCAUUUAAGACGACUUACAGAUUAUGAGAAAUAUAUUUAUCUUACAAACAUUUAAUAUGUUAAUUAGAUUGAGUCUAUGCAAUAAAAUUUUCAAAUUAAAAAAUAAACCCUUUAUUUUCUUUUAAUCAUAAGCGUGAUCUUAAUUAUUAAAGUCAUUCAAUGUCCAUUACUUAUUAUUUUUUUAAUUACCUAAAUGACAUUGAAAACUCUACUCAAUAGUAAUUCAUUCAAAUGUUUUGUUUUAAAGUAAUCGGAAACUGCAAAUGAAACAAAUGCUUGAAAUCACAAACGGCCUAAAAUUAGAUUUUUAUUUUUUCAAUGUUGCAGUGACUUUGAUCUUGAUAUUGAAAAUUUAUUUGUAAUUUAUAUAAAGGCCUCAAUUUCAUUAUAAUUGGUUAGUAAGGCUACGUAGUGAGCAUGGAUAAAUUUUGGGAUUGGAUUAUAUUUUUGGAACUAAAAAAUUAAUUUAAUCAAAUGUUAUAUUUGGCUGUCAGGACUAGCAACUUAGUCUAAAAUUAUUGAAAUUGUUAAUCUUUUAUAUUAUAAUCUUUUCGUUCCCACUUUAAACAUCAUUGGUAACUUAAAUAAUUUUUUUAAAAUUAAAUAUAAAAAUUAAUUUAAUUAAAUAUAAAAAUCAUUUAAAUUAAAUAUUAACAUUAAUUUCAUAAUUUUUUACCUAGAAUUUUAUAUUAUAUUAAAUACUAAAAUUCUAUUCGAUAAUGUAUAAACAUUUAUUUAAUAAAUGUUUAGGUUUUUAGUAUGUUAUAUUAUUAUUUAAAUUAUUUUUUAUUUACAUAUGAACAUAAAUUAAUAUUUACUAAUUUAAAUUUAUUAUAAUUUGUUAAAUAAUAAAAGCUAAAUGAUUAUAUUGAAAAUCUAAAUAGUAUUAUAAUGUAUUAUAGUAUAAAUCUUACCCCCAAUGAGUUUAUUUUAUACACCUUUUAUUAUAUUAACACAUUUAUAAUGCAGUGCAAUGCAUCAAAAAAUUAUAACCAAAUAUGAGUUAGAAUGAAAAUAAUAUUUUAGUACAAUAUAAUACAAUGUAAUGUAAGUUGACAAAUAAAUAUUUAAUGGAAGCAAAAAUUGCAUAUGGUUUGUGGGUCUCUCAAAAGACAACAAAGAAACCAAUACGAUACAUUGAUUAUGUCCUCUUUAAUGGUGUCUUUACUAAAUGAGAAUUAGAAUGAGUUAGAAUUGGAAUGGACUUGAUUUGAAAUAAGGAAUUAUAAUCAAAAUAAGUUGUUUAUUUAAGUUGUAUGAAUCGGAAUCGGAAUAAAUUUUACUCAAAUUGAUGUGUUUAGUUUCUCUUAAAAUUAUAAUAGACUAUUACAUGUUACUAAAAAAUCAUUUGGUAAUUGUUGUCUCUAGUAUUAUUUGUAUAUGUUAUAUUGUUAAUAAUAAUAAGAAUAAAAAUAAUACUAAAAAUGAAAAUAAUAAUAAUAAUAAUAGAGACAAUAAUAAUAAAUUUAAUAAAUCAUUAUUAUUAUUAUUACUAGUAGUGAAGACCGCCCAAUGAAGAUUGGAUAGUGAAGCUGAAGACGAUGAAGAUCCCGGCAACCAAUUUCUGCUUCAAAGAUGAUGUGCCCAAAUGGAGACAACCAGUUAUGAUCAGCCAACUAGAUCCCAAUCUCGAUGUUGUGAUCUCACAUGACCACUGAUAAAGCAAUGUGUGAUGCUGGUGUUAUGAUUUCUUUUUUAUUUAUAUUUUUUAAUUUAUUGGGGUGUAUUUUCAAAAUUUAGUAAUUUUAAUAUGAGCAAAUUGUAUAGUUCAGUGAACAAGAGACUGAUUUCCAACCAUCCUAAAAAUUAAUCUCCCAUUCUCUCUCUCUAAUUUGAUGUGGAUUCCAGUAUUUCGAUUCCAAUUCUUACAUUUAUUUGUCAAGUAAAUGAUGUUAAUGAUUUCAAUUUUUAGUUCGAGAAGUAAACACAUCACAAUAUUUUUUUAGAUGCUUCCAUGGCAUAAUCUCAUUGAUCCAUUUUUCUUCACGCCUUAGAUUCAACUUCAAGAUUCAAGAUUCAAUUUGAAGCAAACACAACUACAAAACAAAUAUAAUUAGCGUUAAUAAGCCUGUGGCUAACUGGCUGUGGCCAUGCAAUUGUAACUCAUAGUGACCGAAUCAUAUCUUAUUAUCUUACGCCAGAAGUUAAACAAUGUUCUCAUUCCACGUGUCACUCUCUGACCAAUCCCCAAACUUUCUUUGUAUUUCCAAAGAAACCCUUACAAAGUCAAGAUAAUUACCUUCACUCUACUCGUAUAAAUACUAUCCUCGAUUCGACUGAUGACGACGUAUCCUUACAGUCUUUAUUUAAAGGGAAAAUUAUAAAAAUUUCUCCUCGUUACCUAAAAAUCUAGGUUUCUCAAGAAUCGCUAAACCUAGAUCCCAAUCCUUGAAAAUCUCAAUUUAACCUCCCUAGCGUUUCGAUUGUCGAGGAUUCGCUUCAAAAUUUAGUAUUUUUUAGUGGAUUUUGCUUGUCUCGUAUCCUUAAAUUGUUGUUCGGUUCUGAAAAUAAUUUGGAUUUUUAGGGAUUUUCAGAUUAUUGGGUUUUGUUGAGUACAAUUUCGUCUAGUUACGGUUUCAGUUUGAAGGGUUAAAUGCAAUUUCGAUUUUUUUUUAUAAAAUUAAAAUUAAAAUUCAUAAAACGAUUGGGCGUUUAAUAAUUAAUUGAUGGCUAGCGAUACUACAACGGCGGCCGUAGCUCCGGAAGAAGCAGAGGCGGUGGAGUAUGGUAGGGUUCCAGAUGACGGGAAACGCUCUCUUGUGAUGCUCAGAAGGGAAGCCACUGAUGAGGAGGAGGCGGGGGAUGAGAGAUAUUCAGAGCUUCCAAUCGCUCAAAGUGUGCAUAUUCCUGCGGGAGAAGCGGAGGCUGUGGAUGAGUAUGAGAGCGAUCCAGAUGAAGUGGCACACUCUCUCGUUCUGCGCAGAAGGGAAACAAGCGAUGAGGAGGAGGAGACAGAAUUUGAGCGUCGAAUUAAUUGAAGGGUCCAAAUUCAUUCUUACGAUGAAUCUGAUGGCCAAGGUGGUGCUUCAGCUGAGUAUGAUGAUGAUGAAGAAGGCGAAGAGGAACAUGACAGAAUUAGAAGAAGAUGAUGAAGAAGGGGAUGUUUAUGAGGAUGAAGAGGGGGCGGUUAAAGUCAAAGGAAUAGAGGGUAAUGAUGCAAGAGGAGUACGGAGGGGGCAGUGGAAGUGAGUAAAGGGAAUAAUGAUAAUGGCAAUGUUGCUAAAAAAAUGAUGCAGUGGAGGGAAUGGAGGAAGAGAAGAAGGAGAGUAGUGAGCCUUUUGCACAGCAGCUGGGCUUUUUAUAUGGGACAAUGUUGCAGGUCGACACAGGUAUUAUUUGGUUUGAGCGACAAUUAAUAAAUAACUGAUAGUGUACUUUCAUUAGGGCUUGUCAGUUAGUCUAGUCUCGUUUUUUGGUGCUGUAUAAUGAUUGUUUGCUGGAAUCUGUCUAGAAUGCUUUUGGCCUAGUAGGUUGAAAGGAGAGAAAGUUCUCAAAUAAACGUCCGUGCUUUGUGGAAUGUAAUUAAUAGGUACAAAGCAUACUAAAUUACUUGACAGAUAGAUGCCGAGCUAAUCAUGAGCUAUUAUAGCAUUAUCCGUGCUUUGUGUAUUUUUAUUAGGGCUUGUCUAUUUCAAAGUGUGCAGUGUAGAAUUUUUGGGUUAAGUUUGAGUGAUGAAGUGUUAGGUAGGUUUCUGUUUGGCGUAGUUAAGUGGUUAAUAUGAGCUAUCGAAGCAAAUACAGAGUAGGAUAUCUAGUUUUGGGUUUGGUCUUAGUUUGAAGAUGGUACUGAUUAUGCAGCUAGGUACGUAUUAGUGUUUGUGGAUUUCUAAAUGCUUUCUGUCAAAUGUGACUAGAUUAUUACUAGAAGUAUAUGGAUCUUACACUUAAUUGAUUACAUAUCCAUUUAUAAUGUUCAAAAUGAUAAUAUACUAUUACUUAAAAUUAUGCUUUCAAGACAUCAUUUUGAAAAUCCAUGGUUGUAAUGUGUCUCUAAAUUCAGUAAUACAAGUUCUGUCAAUUACUGUUGGAUGCAGUGACCUGAAUAGUUUAAUAUUCAUUUGCAGAAAAAAGUUGAGAAAGAAAACUAAAAAUUUCCGUGCGUUCUGCUGGAAAUUUAAUUAGCUUCAUUUGAGCAUUAAUUGCCGGCAUGAUCUCUUAGACUUCUCUUGCAUUGAAUGAAUGGAUGAGUGCUAAUCCAUGCAAAGACUUCCAUGCAUGCACAACGAAUGCUAAAUCUAAGGUAUGGUAAAAUGUCUAGCAAGCUUGGCCCAAAUUAUCAAGCUGGUUUGGUGGCUGCUAGAUUUGUUCACCCGGAUUUUGGACCAUUUUCCUUGACAAUGAGAAAAGCUCCAAGAUCUGUAAAUUGAAGACUCACUGAAAGAUCCAAGUUUCAGGUAACUCUUGUGUUGUGUGCUCGGAGUAUUCUCUAUUGUAUUUUUUUUGUUUGUUAUUUAUUUGACAUAUUACUAGCAGAGAUCUUGGGUGGGAACCAAAAAUUCCCAACAAUUGUCAAUUGUUUUAAACUCUAUUCUGAACAGAGCAUGAAGGGAUUCACUUAUCUAAUUAUUGCUUUUAUGCUUUAACUUCGCUUGAUUUCAUCUUUUCCGUCACCUUUAUUAAAGUUGUAUAUGUUGGAGUGUUAGGUUCAUCAUAAGGAUCAUAUUAUGGCUAAGGAAGGAGCACAGUUUAUCAGCUGCACUGAAGUGUAGCAGAGAAUUUGGAUUCAAGACUGAUGCAAGGCUGUUGCUGUGUAAUUGUAUGCCAUGCUUGCUAGUGCACUCUAAUAGAUUGCUGAGCUGGCACCGGAUGUUUUUAGCUAAUAUUAGUAAUUAGUCUAGAGUGUUCGAUUUAUUCUAUAAAUUGCUCAUUUGAGCUUAGAACCUUUAAAGUGUAUCACACGAUUCUGUUACUUCUAAUACAGAUUUUCUCUAUUCCUUUUUCUAUCACUUUCUCUUCCAUUUUCAUGAUCCCCAAACACCAUCAAUCCAUGAUUUCUAGAGUAUUAGCCGUCAAUCCAUGAUUUUCUUGUUAUUUUUUCUUUCACUUUCUCUUCCAUUUUCCCACUCCCCAAACACCACCAAUCCCUGAUUUUUUGAGUAUUAGCUGUCUAUUUCUACAAACAUAGAAGUGCUGUUUGUUUGUCCAAUUACUUUCGAGAAACAAAACUCUCUGUCCUGUGGUCUUUUCGUUUAUUGACUUGUGAGUAAAUAAGAUAUUGGGCCAAUGGACUCAACGUGACAAGUUCUUGAAUUGAAUGGCUCCUCUUUUCUCCAUAAAUCUUUGCUUAAUUUUUUUGCUCCCUCAACUUUUUGGGCCUUUUGCGUUAAAAUUCUUUUUUUGAUACAUUAUGCAAAAAUUAUGAUGAAAAUGAGUUACCUUAGAAGAUCAACAAAUUUUUAUUACAUGACAAGACAAUUAUACUUAGAUUACUCUUAUUUAGUUGAAUUAUAUGUAAUAAAAUUAGUUUAACAAAAUCUAAUCCGUAAAUAUUCCUUAUCACAUGAUUAACGUACUUAAAAAUCUUAACGGAUUGGUCGCUUGUUUUACAAUUCUUUUAUAUAUCUUUGAAACUUUCAGCUUCCUAACACAUCAUUUGUUAGAGUGCAAUUUAUGCACUAGUUUUGCAUUGUUUACUUCCCUUAAUAUCGAUGUUUUGCACUUAAUAAUAUUGAUUUACUUGUGUUUUACUUUUGUAUAAUGAUGGCAAUGGGGUGGGGUGGGGGUGGGGAGGCCUACCCCAUUCCCCACCCCGUUAGAAAUUUUUACCUCUAUUCCCCACCCCAUUCCCCAAUAAAUUUAGUGGGGUGGGGAUGGGGAAUCCCCAUGUGGGGAAUGCUUUCCCCAUUCCCACCCCAUUCCCCAUUUAUCUAUUUUAUAUUAUGUAUAAAUAUAUGAUUUCAGUAAGUUAAAAAUUAGAGACUUAAAAUAAAAUCAUCACCAUAUUAUAAAGUAUUUAAAUUCUUUUUAAAAAAAUAUCUAAAAGUUUGAACCAAUAUCUUAAAAUAAUAUUAAAAGUAAAAAAAUAUUUAAAGAGCGUAGCACUUUAAAAGAGAAAAGAAAAUAUAACAAUGUUUCAUAGUUGAAAAAUAUUAUAGGGUUUUUUUUCAUUCAUAUCCUGUUUAUAUUGCAUAAAAAUUAAAAAAAUAUUAAUUGACAUUAUAAUUCAUAAAAUAAAAAUUAUUAAAUAAGAAUUAAAAAUAUAUUUAUAUAUAAUGGGGAUUGGGGUGGGGGUGGGGGUGGGGUGGGGAGUGCAAAACCAAACCCCACCCCAUUAAGAAUUUGGGGAUUAUUUUUCCCCCACUCACCACCCCAUUCCCCAUAAAUUAUUCAAAAUUUUAUCCAUUUGGGGUGGGGCUCCAUGGGGCCCCAAACCCGUGGAGGAUUUUGCCAUCCCUACUUUUGUAGGUGCAAUUCUAUUGAUUGGUGAUAAAAUUGAGCUAUAAGAUUAUGUUUAAGGAUGAUUGUUCUCUUAGAGAAAUUAUGAGCGUCAGAAGAACUCUGUUGAUAAGGCGUGGGCGCGUACUGUCAACUGCGGACCUGCAGUUUUUAGUUUAACGUGUUUUGUAUUUUUGGUUAUUUUUGUAAUUACGAAUUUAAUAUUUCAGAUAUUAGGAUUUUAUUUUAAAUAGAAUUAUAAAAGAGAAGAGAGAGAGAGUAUUUAAGGGAGGAAUCUAUUGUGAAAAAGGGGGAUUUUUGGAUUGGAGAAAAAGAAAGAAACCCUAGAUCUAAUUUUUCUCUUCUCUCUAUGAGGAACUAAACCCAUUUUUCUGGUUGAAGGUUAAUGAAGCUUUGAUUCAUCACUACUGUGAGACCUUUCUUGUGCUUUAAUUGUUUUAUUGCUUUUUAGAUAUUUGUUUAUUCUCUGAAUUAUUUUCAUGAUUAUGUUUGUUAAUUAGGUAAUUGGCCACUAUUUAAUUAUCAACUUAAUCUAUUGUCAAUUAAAGGAUUCAUCGUAUGAAGAAUUUAAUGUUUGUGACAAAUAACAUAGCAGAGAGUUGUGUUGUGAGAAUAAAAAAUCUAAUUUAAAUGAAUCAUCAUAUGUGUUGAUUAGGAUUUGGGUCUCUCUGAUUUUUCAGGCUGUCAAUUGAUUAAAUCCUAUGAUCGUAUCUAGGGUUGUCUAUUGAUUAGGGAAAUAACCAACGGUCGUACCUUGGUUAUCGACUAGUUAAGGAGAGAUUGGCUAUUAGAGGGUCUCAGUAGCUAUAAUCGGUCUAUUCAUGAGUAAUAAUAAUCUAUAUUUGAAUCAAUGAUCAGUAGUCGAAUCAAGCUGAGUUAAUUCCUUCAACCAGAGCUUUCUCCAAUUUGAAUUACAACUUUAAUUUGCAUUCUUGUUAUUUUUAAUUUGAUUUUUAUUAUUGUCAACAAUUCCCCCAUUUUACGUUUUACGUUUCAAAAGGAUUUAAAUAAUUACCGAUCUCUGUGGACACGACCCUGCUCAAUCACUAUACACAAUUUAUUUAGAGUAGGAAUUUAUUUUUGUUGGCUUCGACACCCAUCAAAUUUUGGCGCCGUUGCCGGGGAUUGGUGUCAUUUAUUUAAUCAUUUUUACGUUUUACUUGGUGUAUGGUUCGUUCUUCUCGUACAGGUACACUUUCAUUUGAUCCUGAAAUUGAGAAGACAGCUCGCCAGCUGAGACAAUAGACUAAGCGAGCUAAGCAAGGAUCCUCGUCGCCUUUGCUUUUUGAAACAGAUACGGUGCCUAAUUUAGUUGAAUCAUCUAGCGAUUCGGAAGAACAAGUGAUGGAUAGACCUGCACCUGUAGAAAGAACUCUUAGAGAGUUAGUUGAACCAGACUUGAAUCAGCAACCACUCUGCAUUCAAUAUGUAGAUUUGGAGGUAAAUUUUGAAUUAAAGUCUGGUCUUAUUCAUUUAUUACCCAAGUUUCAUGGUUUUGCAGGUGAAGAUCCUCAUAAACAUCUUAAGGAGUUUCAUGUUGUGUGUUCAAGUAUGAGACCACAAGGCAUGACUGAAGAGCAGAUUAAGCUGCGUGCUUUUCCGUUCUCUGUAGAUGGGCUAGCUAAAGACUGGUUGUAUUACUUGCCUCCUGGAUCGAUUACAACAUGGAAUGAUUUGAAGAAGCAGUUCCUCGAGAAGUACUUUCCUGCUUCAAGAGCUGCUAACAUCAGAAAAGACAUUUGUGGGAUCAGACAACUUCCUGGGGAGACUUUGUAUGAGUAUUGGGAGCGAUUCAAAUAAUUGUGUGCCAACUGUCCUCAACAUCAGAUUUCUGAUCAACUUCUUAUUCAAUAUUUUUACGAAGGACUGUCAUUGAUGGAUAGGAGUAUGAUAGAUGCUGCUAGUGGAGGCGUGUUGGUGAACAAGACCCCUACUCAAGCAAGGGAGUUGAUAUCAAAUAUGGCUGCCAAUACACAACAAUUUGGCAACAAGCAAGAUUUCACUUCAAGAACGGUGAAUGAGGUAAAUAUUUCUUCUGUUGAACAACGUUUAGAUAAACUUACUUCUCUUGUGGAAAAGUUUGUUGUAGGUAAUGUGCAACAGGUGAAGACUUGUGGCAUUUGUUACAAUAUGGGUCAUUCAACCGAUAUGUGUCCUACACUUCAAGAAGAACCCGUUGAACAAGCCAAUGCAGUUGGAGGAUUUCCAGGUAUGCCUCAGAGGAGGUAUGAUCCUUAUGCACAAACAUACAAUCCGGGAUGGAAGGAUCAUCCUAACUUCAGCUAUGGAGUUAGGCCGUCAAGAUUCCCACAACAGUAUCCACCAAGACAACCAACACCUCCACAGUCAAACUCCAAGUCAGGUGUAUCUCUUGAAGAAAUUGUUAAAUCACUUGCGACUAACACUCAACAAUUUCAGCAGGCAACUACAGCAAGCAUUCAGAACUUGGAGAACCAAAUGAGUCAAUUGGCGACUACAGUGAGCCGUCUGGAGUCUCAAGUAUUAGAAAGAUUGCCUUCACAAUCUGAGGUGAAUCCAAAGCAAAACGUUAGUGCUGUCAUCCUUAGAAGUGGGAAGGAGUUGCAAGAGCCUAGUAAGAAAGUGACAAAGCAUGUAGAAGAUGAGCUUGAGAAGAAUGAAUUGAUGCCUAAAUCUCAAGAUGCGCAACCCACCAAAGCGAAACCCGUACCUAUUGUGAUACCUCCUCCUUUUCCAAGCCGGUUUACAAAAUCCAAGAAGGAGGAACAAGAGAAAGACAUCCUUGAGACAUUUCGCAAGGUUGAGGUAAAUAUUCCUUUAUUAGAUGCUAUAAAACAAAUACCUCGAUAUGCUAAAGUCCUUAAGGAACUGUGCACCUCCAAAAGAAAAUUAAGAGGAGAUGAAAAAGUUCAUAUGGGGGAGAAUGUUUCAGCAGUUCUCCAAAAGAAACUACCUCCUAAGUGCAAGGAUCCAGGUAUGUUUACUAUCCCUUGUAAAAUUGGUAGUGUUAGAGUUGAAAAGGCUAUGUUAGAUCCAGGAGCUUCUAUUAAUGUCAUGCCUCGUUCCAUUUAUUCAUCUUUGAAUUUUGGUCCAUUAAAAGAAACUGGCGUGAUAAUUCAACUAGCUGAUAGGUCUAAUGCAUAUCCUGAUGGGGUAUUAGAAGAUGUCUUAGUACAAGUUAAUGAGUUGGUUUUUCCUGCUGAUUUUUAUGUACUUGAUAUGGAAGAUGAUAACUCCUCUAAUUCUGUCCCAAUUUUGCUAGGAAGACCUUUUCUUAAGACUGUUAGGACUAAAAUGGAUGUACAUAAAGAGACUCUCACUAUGGAGUUUGAUGGAGAGGUUAUAGAAUUCAAUAUGAAUGAUACCAUGAAAUAUCCUAGUGAGGAACAUUCGGUAUUUUCUAUGGAUGUUAUUAACCCUAUAGCGCAGGAAAUUUUCUACAAGGAAAAGACGAAGACAUUUCAUGAUAGAAUGAUUUUGAGAAAGGAGUUCUCUGUUGGUCAAAAAGUUCUUCUUUUUCAUUCUAAGCUUAAACUUUUUCCGGGUAAAUUACGUUCUUGCUGGGUUGGACCUUUUAUUGUUACUAAUGUUUUUCCUCAUGGUGCAGUUGAGAUUCGGAGUCCGACCUCUGACAAAGUUUUUAAGGUUAAUGGUCAUCGCUUAAAACCUUUUUAUGAAGGUUUUUCGGUGAAUAUUGUGGAGGAUGUGGCUCUCGAGAGUCCCAAUUAUGGAGAUUGAUGCAUAAAUGUGUCUAGCCAAAGACAUAAAACAAAGGCGCUUUUUGGGAGGCAACCCAAUUGAUUUAUUUAUUUUGGUUUUUGUCAUAUCUUCUUUUAAUUUUGAUUCAGAUUUUUUUUUUUAAAUAAUGUGUUUGCUUAUUUUGGUCAGAAGAAAAUUUUUGAUAAGGCGUGCCCACAUCUUAACUAAUAAGUACUUCUAUGAUUUUUAAAAUAAAAUGGUUUUAAGGCAUGCCCACGUGCUUAUUAGAAAAGUACUUCUGAAAUUUUUAGUGCCUCAAGUGAUUCAUCACUAAAAAAAAGAAAAAAUUAAAUUAAAAAAAUUAUUUUAUUUUAUUUUUUUUUCUAUUUAUUUAUUUUAAAAAAACAAAAAAAGAGAUUUUCUUUUGUUCUUUCUUUUAUAUAUUUAUUUAUUAAAAAAAAUUUCAAAAAUCACUGUUCAAAAAAAAAAAAAAUUUUUUUUCACUGUUCACAAAAUCCCUAAUUUUCCAGAACUUGUUUUCUUCUCCAACCGCUUGCAGCACACCAGCAGCACCUGCGCGCGCAGCACCAGCAUCCCGUGUCUCGCAGCCCAGCAGCGCGCAACGCAGCGCAGCACCCGCAAAGCAAGCCUCAACAGCGUGCAGCGCGAACCAGCCCCAGCCCGAGCACGCAACGCAACAAGCGUCACCAGCGCGCGCACCAGCAAUCCCCCAGCGCGCAGCAACAGCCGCAGCACGCUGAUCCAGCGUCACCAGUUCGCAGCAUCAGUCCCAUCCACGCGCAACUGAACCAGCAGCUGUGUACUCGCAAGCUCCAGUCGAGCAGCAAUAGUCCGCAACCAGCCUACGACCUGCAUUCCAGCCACAUGAAUCGAAAUCCGUGACAAGAUGAAGCAGAAUUUGGCCGCAUACUUCAAGAGUGUGGGAUUUAUCCCACCAUUCCCGCCAAGCCCAUAGACGUUAUGUGGAUCAAAGCUCACAAUUCAGGGAAGUUUUUGCCUUUAAUCUUUUAUCCUUACGCUUUAAUUUUUAUGUGAGCUUUGAUUAUCUUACAUUGGGGACAAUGUAAGUUAUUGGUGUGGGGGAGGGAUUUUUGCAUUAUUGAUGUCUGGAAUUAUUAUUUUCACUCUACUUAUUUUUUUUUCACUCUACUCAUCCUUAAAUGAUUUUGGAGUUAGUAUGCUUCAUAUAUUAUUAAUUUUCUUUUCAUUUCUCUCUCACUACUCUUUUCCCAUCUAUCUCAAAUUAUUUACAUCUAUUUUUUUUUUCUUUCUAUCAUACUCUUUCAUCACUCACAUUUUUUUUUACCUUUCCUUUUAUAUCUCACUCAUACCUUCUUCUCAUUGUACACCACUAUUUAUGGUUAAUUCAUUUAAAGAGUGUACAUGAUUUGAUGGCAAAUUUACCAACUUUGUGAGGAUUUGAGCCUAUGAGCAACCACUUUGCUCUAAUUAUUUUUUGUUAUGUGAAUAUCAAUCCUAGUUUGUUUAUUCUAGAACUUGCUUUGAUAUGCAUGUUGAAGCCACAUUACGGGAUUUUAUGCAUUAAAAUGAUAAGGGCAAACCAUUUACCAUUUUUCUAUUCUCGCAUUUUCCUUUUUCUCUACUCGAAGACCUUUAUUUGCUACCUUUGUUUGAGCCUUAACAAUUACCCAUCCAUUUUUCUUCUUUUUUGAGCCUCAAUUUAAGGAUAUUUUUGGACUCAUUGUGUGGAUAUAUUUUGUUGCUUUUUCUACCUUGUAGUAAAGCUUCUCAAUUAGAUCAACAAGCAUUAUGCUUGAAUUAAAUUGUGCAAGGUUCGUUUCUUUUGUUUGAUUCAAAAACAAAAACAAAAACAAAAACAAAAACAAAAAAGAAAAAAAAAAGAAAAAUCACAAAAAAAAAGAGAAAAAAAAAGGAAAAAAAAUGUUUACAUUCUUGGUGACUUGAGUAGAAAUAAGCAUUUUGAUAUCAUAAGUUCAUUCAAUGAGUUCAUUCUUCUCGUUUUGAUCUCUUUUUCUUUCAUAAACCUUUCUUUUUCAUUUAACCCAUUUAACCCCAUUACAACCCUUUUAAGACCCUUAGAUUUUUGCAUUUUAUUCAUGUUUUGUGGAUUGAGAUGUGAUAUAUGAGCAAGCUUAUGGUAAUAGCAUUCUUUGAUUUGAUUUGAGUGGAUAAAUGACAUCCUAAACACUUUCAGUGCAUGGAGUGAAGUUAUUGAGAGGGCUAUUACAUCUUGUUGCACUUGAAUUUUGAAUGGAUCUUCUUGGUGGUUGAAUGUUCUUAUUCUAUCUUAUGAAAUUCUAUGCUUUAAAAUCCUUGUCUCUCGAACGUUGAACGACUUAAUUUCUUGAGGUAUGCUUGCUUAAAAUUGUUUUUGGAUGAGUUGAGAUGAGAAUUGAGUGGAGAUUUGGGAUUAAUCUUGAGUUAUAUGCUUGAGGACAAGCAUCAUCUUAACGUGACAAGUUCUUGAAUUGAAUGGCUCCUCUUUUCUCCAUAAAUCUUUGCUUAAUUUUUUUGCUCCCUCAACUUUUUGGGCCUUUUGCGUUAAAAUUCUUUUUUUGAUACAUUAUGCAAAAAUUAUGAUGAAAAUGAGUUACCUUAGAAGAUCAACAAAUUUUUAUUACAUGACAAGACAAUUAUACUUAGAUUACUCUUAUUUAGUUGAAUUAUAUGUAAUAAAAUUAGUUUAACAAAAUCUAAUCCGUAAAUAUUCCUUAUCACAUGAUUAACGUACUUAAAAAUCUUAACGGAUUGGUCGCUUGUUUUACAAUUCUUUUAUAUAUCUUUGAAACUUUCAGCUUCCUAACACAUCAUUUGUUAGAGUGCAAUUUAUGCACUAGUUUUGCAUUGUUUACUUCCCUUAAUAUCGAUGUUUUGCACUUAAUAAUAUUGAUUUACUUGUGUUUUACUUUUGUAUAAUGAUGGCAAUGGGGUGGGGUGGGGGUGGGGAGGCCUACCCCAUUCCCCACCCCGUUAGAAAUUUUUACCUCUAUUCCCCACCCCAUUCCCCAAUAAAUUUAGUGGGGUGGGGAUGGGGAAUCCCCAUGUGGGGAAUGCUUUCCCCAUUCCCACCCCAUUCCCCAUUUAUCUAUUUUAUAUUAUGUAUAAAUAUAUGAUUUCAGUAAGUUAAAAAUUAGAGACUUAAAAUAAAAUCAUCACCAUAUUAUAAAGUAUUUAAAUUCUUUUUAAAAAAAUAUCUAAAAGUUUGAACCAAUAUCUUAAAAUAAUAUUAAAAGUAAAAAAAUAUUUAAAGAGCGUAGCACUUUAAAAGAGAAAAGAAAAUAUAACAAUGUUUCAUAGUUGAAAAAUAUUAUAGGGUUUUUUUUCAUUCAUAUCCUGUUUAUAUUGCAUAAAAAUUAAAAAAAUAUUAAUUGACAUUAUAAUUCAUAAAAUAAAAAUUAUUAAAUAAGAAUUAAAAAUAUAUUUAUAUAUAAUGGGGAUUGGGGUGGGGGUGGGGGUGGGGUGGGGAGUGCAAAACCAAACCCCACCCCAUUAAGAAUUUGGGGAUUAUUUUUCCCCCACUCACCACCCCAUUCCCCAUAAAUUAUUCAAAAUUUUAUCCAUUUGGGGUGGGGCUCCAUGGGGCCCCAAACCCGUGGAGGAUUUUGCCAUCCCUACUUUUGUAGGUGCAAUUCUAUUGAUUGGUGAUAAAAUUGAGCUAUAAGAUUAUGUUUAAGGAUGAUUGUUCUCUUAGAGAAAUUAUGAGCGUCAGAAGAACUCUGUUGAUAAGGCGUGGGCGCGUACUGUCAACUGCGGACCUGCAGUUUUUAGUUUAACGUGUUUUGUAUUUUUGGUUAUUUUUGUAAUUACGAAUUUAAUAUUUCAGAUAUUAGGAUUUUAUUUUAAAUAGAAUUAUAAAAGAGAAGAGAGAGAGAGUAUUUAAGGGAGGAAUCUAUUGUGAAAAAGGGGGAUUUUUGGAUUGGAGAAAAAGAAAGAAACCCUAGAUCUAAUUUUUCUCUUCUCUCUAUGAGGAACUAAACCCAUUUUUCUGGUUGAAGGUUAAUGAAGCUUUGAUUCAUCACUACUGUGAGACCUUUCUUGUGCUUUAAUUGUUUUAUUGCUUUUUAGAUAUUUGUUUAUUCUCUGAAUUAUUUUCAUGAUUAUGUUUGUUAAUUAGGUAAUUGGCCACUAUUUAAUUAUCAACUUAAUCUAUUGUCAAUUAAAGGAUUCAUCGUAUGAAGAAUUUAAUGUUUGUGACAAAUAACAUAGCAGAGAGUUGUGUUGUGAGAAUAAAAAAUCUAAUUUAAAUGAAUCAUAGCAGAGAGUUGUGUUCAAGUAGUUCUUCUGCGAAAGCCAAAUUUUCCUGUUAUUUAUGUCUCGGUGAAUUUGCAUCCCUAAAAUCUUGUUUGCUGGUCCCAAGUCCUUCAUUUCAAACUCCCUAGCCAACUGUGCCUUUAAUUCUUGGAUUCGAUCUUUAUUGGGACCUGCUACCAACAUGUCAUCUGUUGAGUGUUAGAAAAUGCAUAUUUAUAAAGGAGAAAACCGUCAUUUUACAUUUCAAGUCUUAUUAACAACCCUUACUUUUAUGUAUUUAACCUUCUUGUGAUUUAAUUACAUGUGUUUUAUUUUAAUUAAGUAUUUUAUGUAUUUUAGGGGCAUUAUAGUCAUUUCACAAUAAAGGAGAGAUCAGACGGAAAAACGGACAUCACUUUUGAACUCAGGACGGUCGAAAAUCUUAGGAGGAGCAUAAAAGGAAAAAUGGCCCUAUUCAUAUGUACGGUACUAUUCACGUGUACGGUACUAACUACGUUACUGUUCACAACACUGUUCACAUAGACGAAUCGAUGACGUGGCAUUGACCGAUGAUGUGGCAUUGACUGAUGAGAUGUCACGAUCUUGUUGGGCUAAAAUUCUUAUGUACUGUUGAUGGUGACGUGGCAGCAUAUCAGUGGAUGAAAAAUCUCGCGUACGGUACAUGCAUCACACAGGAUUAUUUUCAACCAAACCGCGUUACUGUUCAUCCGAGUCAAACCGCGUUACUGUUCAUCCGAGUCAAACCGUGUUACUGUUCAUCCACGUGGUCAAACCGUGGACUGUUGACUGAUGACGUGGCGCAAUCCUGAGCGUCCAAACUGUUUUUAAUCCGAUGGCCAUGAUUUACUCCAUGUAUCUAUAAAAAGGGGGCCUCCCCCCCCUAAUUUGAUAGCUCUGAAUCUAUUUUUUGGAUCCAUUUUCUGUAAUUCCCUCUCCAUCUUGUAUUUUCUUUGUAUUUUAAUAAAUUUUCAUUUUGCCCCUAGUUCAAUUAUGAGGAGCUAAUUUCCUUUCAAGCUUGGGUUGAAGGUGAAGUCUCAACAUGUGUCAUGGGCUUUAUUUGGUAAAUUUAUUUCCUUUUCCCCUCUAGUUUUUGUGGAUGAUUUGACUUAUCGUCGACAAAUAAUACUGAUCUUGUCUAGAUACCGCCUUGGUUACACCGGCUCUCUAGUAUAAGGUUAUUAUUAUUUGGCACGAUAAGCCCUUAGCACCAUAUUGAUUAGAGCGUGGUUCAUGAGGUGUGGAUUCCCCCCUCAUGAUUUAAUUGGCAUUAAUAAGGAAUAUUUAGCCCAUGAUGCAUGUUGAUACGGAUCCAGAUACCCAAGUACGUCAUUUCAAUAGAAUUCUCUUCAAUUUAUUCUCGCUAUUUCAAUUCCAAUUUUAGAAUUUAUUCUCGCCAUUUUAAUUUAAGUUUUAGUAUAUUCCAAAUCAUUUCCACCACAAAUCCAAUCACCCAUUUACAGAAUUAAUUCUACACAUAAUUAAAAUCCACCUCCUCGUGGGAUCGACACUCGUCACCAUUGAUCUACACUACAAUAGAUUCGUGCGCUUGCGAGUACAUUAAAAUUUGCACAACAUCAUCCACAUACAACAGUAAAAUAAUGAAAUCAUUAUCUUCAAACCUCUUGUAAUAUGCACAAUGGUCUGAACUGAGUCUGUUGUAUCCAAGGCUCAUGAUGAAGGAAUCAAAUCUCUUAUACCAACACCUCGGCGCCUGUUUAAGACCAUAUAGAGAUUUGUUCAACCUGCAAACCAAGUUCUCCUUUCCUGUUUCUGCAAAACCUUCUGGUUGGAGCAUAUAUAUUUCUUCUUCAAGUUCUCCAUGAAGAAAUGCAGUUUUCACAUCUAACUGCUCUAGAUGUAAGUCAAAUGUAGCACACAUCGCCAAGACUACUCUGACUGUUGUGAGUCGAACCACCGGAGAAAAUAUCUCGUUGAAGUCAAUACCUUCUUUCUGAGUAUAUCCUUUCACCACCAAUCUCGCACGAUACCGCUUCACUUGGUCAUUGCCAUCACGCUUGAUCUUGUAGACCCAUUUGUUUCCAAUGGCUUUUCUUCCACGUGGUAGUGGUACAAGUUCCCAUGUCUUAUUCUUAUGUAGAGCUUCAAUUUCUUCCUGCAUUGUUGUUAUCCACAAAGCAAUAUUUGAGCUUUCUAAAGCUUUAUGGAAAGUUGAUGGCUCUCCAUCCUCCGUUAGAAGACAAUAUGCAACAUUAAUUUCUGUGACAUACUCCGAGUGCCACACCGGCGGUCGUCUCUCACGAGUUGACCGUCGAACUUCUGGAGCCUCAGACCCGACUGGUUCUUGUUCCUCGUGCUCUGGUGCUGCUUGAGAAGAAUCUGAAUCUUCUAGAUUAUUUUCCACAUAUACUGGCACGGUCUCUGACUUUUCUUUUGUAGUGCCAUCAUCCUCAUCUCUCAUUUGCAGUUGAUCUUCUACAAAGAUAACAUCUCUGCUGAUGACGAUCUUGUGGGCAGUGGGGUCCCACAGACGAUACCCCUUUACUCGAUCAGCAUACCCCAAGAAAAUACAUAUUCUAGAUUUUGGAUCCAGCUUUGUUCUUUCUUGGGCAUUGUACAUCACGUACACAGGACAUCCAAAUGCAUGUAGGUAGGAAUAAUCAGCUGGCUUUCCAGUCCAUAUCUCCAUCGCUGUCUUCAGCCCAAUAGCUGUAGAUGGCGAUCGAUUUACUAUAUAACAGGCAGUUUUGGCUGCUUCUGCCCAGAAUGAAUUGGGUAGACUAGCAGUCUUCAACAUAGCUCUUAUUCUUUCUAUAAGAGUUUUGUUCAUCCGCUCUGCUACUCCAUUUUGUUGAGGAGUGUAUGCUACCGUGAACUGCCUUUGAAUACCUUCUUGCUUACAGAAAGCAAGAAACUCACAGUCUGUAUACUCUCCACCAUUAUCCGUCCUCAAGCACUUGAUCUUUUUACCAGAUUCAAGUUCCACCUGCGCUUUGUAUUCUUUAAAUACUGGAAAUACAUCUGACUUUUUCUUAAUUGGAUACACCCAACAUCUUCUGGAAUAAUCAUCAAUGAAAGUCACCAUGUACUUUGCACCUCCCAUAGAUAUAUCCAGUGAUUCCCAAACAUCAGAAUGAAUCAAGUCUAAAAUGCAUUUACUUCUAGCAAUAGAUCUACUGAAUUUUAAUCUAUGCUGCUUACUUGUAACACAAUGCUCGCAAAAUGGUAAACUUACCGAUUUGAGCCCCGGAAGCAAUUUUCGCUCAGAGAGAAUCUUCAAACCUUGUUCUGACAUGUGGCCAAGUUUGAGAUGCCACAUCAUCGUUGAUUCUUCUCCAUUUGAUGCGACACAUGCAUCAGCCUCCUGUAGUGUUUCUCCUUUAAGCAUGAAUAAAUUAGCACCGAUCUUUUCUGCCUUCAUCAAUACAAGCGCACCUUUAACGAUCUUUAUAAUUCCAUUCUCCACAUGAGUUUUGUACCCAUGACUAUCCAUUUGUCCCAAAGACAAUAGAUUUUUCUUCAGGCCGUUGACAUGUCGUACUUCUCCAAUUGUGCGAAUUGUACCAUCAAACAUUUUUAUUUUGAUAGUACCAAUACCAGCGAUCUCUAAGGCAUGAUCAUUACCCAUAUAUACAGAUCCUCCUGAGAUAGGUUCAUAUGUGUGGAACCAUUCUCUCCGAGAGGUCAUGUGCCAGGUAGCUCCUGAGUCUAUAAGCCAGACAUCAGACAGUCAUUUUCUGCCUUCUGAAACAGUUGUUGCCUCGCUAUAGAGAAUUUCGCCAUCAUCUAAGGUACUUGCCACACACCCUUGAGCAUUUGAUGACUCAGGUUCUUUACCCUCUCUUCUCUUCUGGUUACUCCAACACUCUUUCUUGACGUGCCCUUUCUUGCCACAUUUGUAGUAUUUAACAUUCUUCUUACUUCUGGAUUUUGAUCUACCCUGAUUUUGACUCCCACUGGGGCCACGUUCCGUUAAUCUCCCUCUCGUCACCGAUAGCGCUUCUGCUUGCUGCGAACUUGCUUGUCUGUUUUCCUUAUUUUUUCGCCUGCUCUCCUCAUUUAAUACGGAGGCUGCAACAUCGUCGAAAACUAGACUCUCCACUGGAUUGUUGUUCGUCAGGUUGAUGAUGAGUUGAUCAUACGAAUCUGGUAGACUUUGAAGUAGAAGCUUUGCACGUUCAUUUUCCUCUAUAUUAUGACCCAACGUUGUGAGUUGUGAAAAUAGAGUCUUCAAUGUGUUGAUGUGGUCGGUCACCAUUGUAGAUUCCGCCAUUCGAAGAGUAUAGAGUUUUCUCUUCAAGAAGAUUUUGUUGUGUAGUGACUUGGCCUCAUACAAUUUUGUGAGAGUAUCCCAUAUUUCCUUUGCCGUAUUUUUCUCUGCCAUACUGGAUAAUACUCCAUCCGCAAGUGCCAAGUGUAGAUCAGAAAUGGCGUUGCCGUCUACCUCGUUCCACUUGUCAUCAGUUAUUUCCAUAGGCCUUUCUCCAAUUGCUGCCAAGCAAUUAUUUUUCCUCAAUACAGCUUUCAUCUUCAUUUUCCACAACGAAAAAUUAUUUCCGUUAAAUUUCUCAAUUUCAUACUUUGCCGCCAUUUUGUUGAUAAAUAUCGCACACAAGCUAGUGUACCACCUUGAAUAGUUGUGAGUAUGUGUGAGAAUGCACACCAGGAAAGUUCCCAGGAAAGACUGGAGGGGUCACAAUGGUCCUACUUAAAACCCAGACUCCUUAAGCUCUUAUCGCUUUUGUGACAGAACUUUCCUAGACAUGUACAAAACCACAAUUGUUUUACUCACACCACUAUUCCCUGCUUUGCAUCGCAAAAUUCUUGGAUCGCUCCCACCGCUUCUUGUGAAUAGUACCGUAUACGUGAACAGUACCGUAUACGUGAAUAGUACCCCUUACGUGAACAGUACCCGACUCCAAAAAAUACAACUAAUAGCUCUGAUACCACUGCUAGGAAAUUGGUGGGUGAAGCAGACACGUAGCUAAAAUAAAAUUGGAAGAAAAUAAAGAACAAGCACUCUAGAGGACACCAGAAAAUUACGUGGUUCGGCUUUUAGCCUACAUCCACGGGCGAAGACAGAAGAAAAUAUUUUACUAGUGAAAAGGAGUUACAAGUAUUGUAGUAUUUUAGCUCACUUCCCAAAACCCCAAUACACCUAAACUCUCUCAAUCACUGUAACAAGAGCUUAUAAAUGCAAGCUCUCUAAAUUCUCUCUAAAUACAAGAGAAAUCUUCUCAAAAUUGGAUGAUCAAAUGAGGGAAUGAGUCCCUCUAUUUAUAGCCAAAAUCUUGGCUACUAUUCACGUAUUUUUUUUAAUUAUUUAUUAUUGUUCAAAAUUCAAAAUUCAAAGUUUGAUAUUCAAACUUUGAAUAUCUAGAAUUUUGAAUUUGAUAUUCAAAGUUUGAAUAUCUAGAAGUUUGAUUUUGAUAUUCAAACUUUGAAUAUCAAGACACCCAAUCUUGACAUCGGAGGCUUCGUUUUAGAAGAGUGCAGAGCAGCUGCCUUGUCCAUUUGGCACGCCAACGACUUUCUAUUGACCAAUAAUUUUGAAAGCGAUAUUAGUAAUUUACCAUCUAAUAUUUUUUUUAUAUUAUCAUUUUACCAUAAAGUUUUUUAACAAUUAUUUUUUUCCUUAAUGUUUUAGUUUUUAUUAUAUUACUACCAAAAAUUGGCAAACGCACUCCUAGUGUAGGUUAUCCACAAAAUGGCUACCGAAUUGUCUUGUUUCUCAUUUUGUUUAAUUUUCAUAAAUUCGACUCACGAUUCAAAUGUGAGUGAAGAGUUUUUUUUUUGGGAAAAAAUCUGGUCUUCCAUUUACUAGAAUUAGGUAUGUGUGAUUUUAUUAUUUUUCUUUUGCUUUAUAUGUAUCUGGAAAAUUAUGAAUACUUUGCAGGAUUUAGAAGGAUUUGAAUGUUUGAACGCAUAUAGCUUUCUGUCCAUCAGCUAAUGCAUAUUCUGCAUUUUAUGAAUAUCAGAGCUGGUAGAUUGAAAAAUGGACCUUAUUACAUGUCAUAAGAUACUUUGCUCAAAGCUGCAAUUGGGCAACGUCGUGCUGUUCUUAUCCGCCAAUGCAAGCCAUUUACUAUUCUUUCUAAUGGAGCAAAAUAAGAUGAUUCUUACCUGCAUAGAGAAUUAGAAAAGAAAAGGAGGAUUACUGAUCCACAGAGCUGUCAUUUACUAGAAGCACAUAAAAUCUUACACUUAAUUCAUUAACCAUAUGUAUAUUCUAAUGAUACUUAAGUAUUACCUAAACUAGCCUUUCAAAAUUUCACUUCGAAAAAAUCCAAGGUUGUAAUGUGUCUAUUUGGUUGCUAAUACAAGUUCUCUCUAUUCCCAAUUUUUUAUGCUCUCACUUCGCUUGAUUCACCUUCUCCAUCUUUUAAAACAGUUGUAUAUGUCGGGGUAUCAAGUUCAUCACAAGGAUCAUAUUAUGGCCUAAGGAAGGAGCACAGUUUAUUGUCUGCACUCAAGCUUAGCAGAGUGUUUUGGGAUUCAAGAGUGUUAGUAGGCCGUUACAGAUGCCAUGCUGGCAAGCGUGCUAUGACUGAUUGCUAUUUGCACGCAAAAUUUGCCCAAAACAAAUAGAAUGAGAAUACUUGUACAAAAGGACAAGAUUAAUAAAGUGAAUAAAUUUUAUCUUUUAGUGAAUGCUUCUUGUCUUUUAGAAUUUUAGUGCAUUUUCGUGUGUAAUUUUAUGUGCAAAUAGCAUUACUCAUUAGUAAUUAGUCUCGAGUGUUCUAAUUUCUUCUAAUAAGUGGCUGAUUUGAGCUUAAGACUUGUAUUUUAAGUUUUUAUUACUUUCUAAUAAAGAUUUUCUCUGUUCUUUUUUACUUUCACUUUCUCUUCCAUUUUCCCGACUCCCAAACACCACCAAUCCUUGAUUUUCUAGAGUAUAGCUAUGCAGUUCUACAAACACGAAACUGCUGUUUGUCCAUUUACUUUCAAGAAACAACGUACUCUGUGGUUUAUUGACUUGUGACUUGUGACUUGUGACCGGGGCAAAUUAGUCACGGUCCGAUUGUCUCCUCUUCCACUGACUCUGUCAAUUCAUGACUUUGGCACACAGUAGACGCCAGCUGCCUGCUUCAUUUGACGUGCAAAAAACUUUCUUGAAUCGGGUUAAAAUCGAUUGAUUAUUUUGUUUGGUGAUGAUGAGUUAGUUGUCAAUUCAUGAGUUUGAUGCAGUGAAACGCUUAACGCUCUCUUGUGAUGCGCAGGAGAAAAGCCAGUGAUGAUGAAGAGGACGAAAAACAUUAUUUUGUUAUUUACAAUAAGGCUAUCAAUUAUAUAUUCCAAAAUAAUUGGGUUUGGAUGGUCAUUUUGUUUUCUAAAAUAUCCAAAUGGAAACAGAAUUUAUAAAGUGGGAAAAUCAAGAAAUUAAAUACUCUUCGUAUAGUGGAAGGAGAUUUGGUUGCCGUUAUGCUAAAUAAAAGAAAAAUAAAGUAAAAUUACAAUACUUUAAUAAUCUCAUUCCCAAUCAUACCGGAAAUAAAAAUUUUCUGUAUAGUUAUGAAAUAAUUAUUGAUUUUACUUUAGUGAUUUUUUUUUUAAAGUAAGGUAAGCAUCUUUAUUUUCUUUGCAAACGAGCCUUCUUUCUUUUGCUUUGGCCUUUACUCUAGACUGUAUUUCAUGGUCAUACUCAAUCUCAAUAUUUUGUAGGUUUGUGGCUGUUUUAUGAGUUACGAUUUUUUAUAGGGUUGCAUGUAGAUGAUACAUUUAUUUUUUUCUUUUUUCUUUUCUUCUUCGGUGAAGAUACUAAAAUUUAGUUUUUGUUAUCAUGUGAAAUGAAAAUAGUCCUCGUUUCAAGGAUUAAUGGGCCACUAAUUUCGUCUUCUUAGAAGAAAAUUUUUUGCAGCGAGGUAAUUCGAAGCUCGAAGAUUUCUAUAUUACAUAGCCAAACCUAAGUGAUAAGAAUUUCCAUAUGAGAUAUAAUUUGGAAAAAAAAAAAAAACCAAUUCAAGUUAAAGAUAAAAAAAUCUGUGUUCCUUAAAAAACAUAAUUCAAGCCACACAAUUUUUCUUGUUUCAUUUGAGAAAAAGAAAAUUGUGUUCCUCACAAAAACACUUUAACAUUUGUUGUCUCAUAGAGGGAAAUGUCCUUCAAAACAAUUGAAACGUUGUCCACAAACAUUGUCAUGUAGUUAAGAAAAACUUAAUUUUGAGAAGUGCAAGAGAUUGGUGGGACUCAUUUGAUUCAAGAAAAAUAAUCAGUCUCAUUUGAUACGCAAAGAGCUUUUCUACUCAUGCAGCCAAUAUUUUGAUGAAUGUGACAUUACUGGUUUGUAUAAUUUUUUGGAUAUUAUCUCAAUUUUACUUCUGUAGGUUUGUGGUUUGUAUAUUAUCUCAAUUUUUAAAAAAAUGUAAUGCAAUUAUCAAACACGACUAAUCCCAACAAUUUAUCCAAAAAUUUUUAUUUCAAGAAAUGUAGCAUUUAUGAUAGAAUGGCUAAUGUUUUCAAUCGACUUUCUGGAUAAAUGAUAAUUUUUUGAUAGAAAUGUUACUUAAGUAUUACAGGAAGAAAAUUAUAGAAUAAUUUUUUGAAUUAAUUGUAUUACUUUACGAUAACACUAUCACAAUCUAAUUUAAAAAAAAAAAGUUAUUCUUUAAAUUUCGCAUUACUAUUCCUACUUUUCUUGUUAUAGUACUUAAUGGCACUGGUGAAGCCUCAGAAUUAUCAAACAAAAGGCAAAAAUAGUUCAAUAUCUGCUGUCCCACUAAGCAUUGUUAAAUUCAUAUAAUAAAAUGAGUACUUAUAUUAAAAAAAAACAAUCGGUCUCAUUGCGUGCUCUUUCAUUGACAUAGGCAAUUUGCUGUCAACUUGUGGCACUUUUAUGAAUUUUCAAGAUUGGUGAAUUUUUCAAAUUUAAAAGAAAAAAAUACAGAAAUGUAAUUUCAAUUUAUCCAAAAAUUUGAGUUUCAAGGAAUACAGCAUUUAUUAUAUGUCAUGUUAAUAUAGAGAAGAAAAAUUAAAAAACUUCUUUUUGGAUGAAUAAAAGUAUUUUCUGAUAAAUAUUUCACAAUCAAAUUUAAAAAAAUUUCACUCCUCUUGGUACAUAAUUUAAGAAUUUAACAUUAUAAAUUAAUCUUUUUAAUCAAAGUAAUAAUCUCUCCUCGGUCUGCAAAUGCUAAAAUUUAAUAUUAUAUCCUUUGACAAUAUUUGCUCCAAAUUCACGAAAAUAAAAUUUCUAACAGAAUUAUGACAUUCGUUACUAGAAAUUUGUAUAAAAGUUGUGAGAAUAGAAGGUUUGAUCAUAGGAAAUUAAUAUAUCCCUAUCCGAUGCAAAAAUGAUUGUAAAGAAAAACAAAAGUCAUGGGCUUAUUUUGAAAAAAGAAAAAAUUACAUUCCUUUUUCCCGUUAUUAAAGUAAUUCUAAAAUCACUAGGCACACAAAGGAUAGGCUUUAGUUGACUGAGGUCAGCCUUAACGCAUGCCGGUCUUUUUCUCCUCUACAUUCUUAGAAAUUUUGGUUUCACUAUAAAUACUCGGUAUAUAGCAAACUUAUAAGUGUUCUUGCAUUACCAAUCCAACUAAGCACACGCUUACAAUAUAAAUACUCUCAUCUCAUGGAAAGACUUCAUUCUCUCAGGAUGAUGAGCAGAUUUCUCUUACUCCAUUGUUUGAUUCUUAUUUCCUUACUUAUCGCAGCUGCAACAGCCAACACAAGUACUAUUACCGCAGACCAAGAUGCUCUGCUUUCCCUGAAAGCUCACAUAACUCAUGAUCCAACCAAUUUCUUGGCCAAAAAUUGGAACACGAGUAUCUCUUUCUGUAAUUGGACAGGCGUCACUUGUGAUGUCCAUAGCCAUAGAGUCACAAUCUUGAAUAUUUCUGGCUUAAAUCUCACCGGCACCAUUCCUUCUCAGCUUGGGAAUCUUUCUUCUCUGCAAUCACUCAAAUCUCAGUUUUAACCAACUUUCUGGUUCCAUUCCCUCCGCUAUCUUCACCACGUAUACACUGACAUAUGUUAGUCUCUGUCAAAAUCAGCUCUCUGGGAAAAUUCCUGCAAAUAUUUGUAGCAAUCUUCCUUUCCUUGAAUUUCUUUCUUUGUCCAAAAACAUGUUGUAUGGCGGAAUACCGUCCACUCUAUCAAAUUGCACAUAUUUAAGAAUCUUAAGUUUGGCAUACAAUGAUUUCUCAGGAGCCGUACCUAGAGAAAUCGGGAACUUGACCAAACUUAAGGAAUUAUAUCUUGGCGUUAAUAGACUUCAAGGUGCGCAUGAUCACGAAGUUUAAUUAUAAGAAUUGUUCCCUGAGUUGUAGUAUGAAUAACGUUCCAUAAUACACUUUACACACGUUGAUUAAUUUGCAGGAGAAACUCCUCGAGAGUUUAGCAAUCUUGCCGACUUGGAGCAUAUGUCGUUGGCAGGCAACAAUCUCCAAGGCAUGAUUUUAAAGUUUUUGCAAUUUUAUUUUAGCGAUGCUUGCUUCUGUAUUCAUUCGCUUGUUCUUUGAUUAUGCGAUGAUUUAUUGUUUUUCUUUCAGAUAGAGAUAAAGCUCCAUGUCUCCCCUCACUCAUUUCAUUCUUUAAUUUAUGCAGAUAAAAAUUUAAAAAAAAUGUUUUGUAAUUUUCUUUUGUCAUAUUGCCACUUCCGUUUUGAAGCUCCCAAUCAAGUCGAUGAAAAUGAAUGAUGUUUCAUUCUUAUUCUUGUCAGCCUAAUUCUUAUAUAAUUGAAGAGUAAAUUGUUAUUAUGAUCAAAUUGUUUGCGCAUAUAUAAAUGUACUUUAUUUACAGGAGGUAUUCAACGGGAAUUGGGGAAUCUUACAAAAUUGGAGGGGUUACAGCUGUUCCAGAAUAACUUGAUCGGUAACUUUCUUUACAAUAUAUAUACGAGACAUCUUCCGCUUUUUAUUAGAAAUUAUAAAUUCAAGUUAAAUCUUAAUUAAAAGAUUUCAAGUCUCUCAUUAUAAAUUCUCAUAUGAUGAUGUGUCGUUACCACUAUCUAACAUUAUUCCCUUUUUUAUUAGAAAUUAGUUUGUGUUAAUUCAAAAUUCUGUAGCAUUUAAAAAAAUUAAAAACACGUGGAAUAAAUUGUUAAUCUUUCUUCUUUACUGAAUUUGGAUUUCUCAAAAAUAAUCAUGACAAGUAUGCUUCACUAAUGAUAAACAUGUGUGACAACUUCAUAAAAUAUUUUAUAUGGAAUCACUAAUUAUCUCUAAAGAUGCCAUCAGUGAUACAUAAUUUCUUAACAAGCACCGUACCAAAAGAAAUCAACAAUUUUAUUAAUCUUAAAGAGUUACAUCUUCACUGCAAUUAUGACAUAAAUUUUUAGUCAUCAAUCACAUAAUAUUUUAUCUUAACGGAUGAUGUUCAGUCUUGGAAUUUAUAAUAUCAUGAAGGUUAGUAGCAUUGAAAAUAAGAAAUUGUUCAUGUGCUAAAAAGUCAACUUAGUAUUUAAGUUUUUCACUUGAAAUUUUUGAAAAAAGUGUUGAGAACUAGCCCUCCUUAGUAUUUCAGCGGAUAAAUAUGAAAAAUGGGCUAGAAGAAAUUAUUUUAUUGUAAUAAGAGUUAGAAAGAGAGGAGAAGUACAGUACUCAUGACUUAGGCUUGCUGUGUGUGUGCUUAUUCUACUUGGGCUUUGGGCUUGAUUACACGGUCGAACGCUUACACCUGUUAAAAUAAUGGGCUUUUGCUUUCGCCGCACAUCUGAUAAUUUCCUAACCUUCCAAUUAGGUUAUAGCAAUUUAAAUAUAAAUAAUAAAGCAUGCUAAAGCUAGCAUUGGUGUAUGGCUGAGUGGUGUAAAAAGUGGAUCUGUUUUCAUGUAUUAUUUAUUCUCUAAAACAUAUUUGAAUACAAUUCUUUCAAAAUACCGAGGAAAUAGCACAUGAAAUCAGAAAUAUUUUAUUGUGAUGAGAAUUCAUAUACUCAUUGUAGUAGAACAUAUAAAAUAGACUAUAAAUUUAUUAUUCUUCGAAACAAACUUGAUUAUAAUUCCUUCAAAAUUAAGUUUGUCAUUAAAUGAUUUCUCAGGAGCCAUACCAAAAGAAAUCGGGAAUUUGACCAAACUCAAGGAAUUAUCUCUUGGCGGUAACAGGCUCCAAGGUGCGCAUGAUCACAAAGUUUAAUUAUGAAAAUUGUUGCAUAAGUUAUAUGGAUAUCCUUGAUAACCGCAGCAAGCAAACAAAAUCAAAUAAAAGCUAACUGAGACUCGAAUAUCCUAAACCCUGAAAAGGAAUGGUAAUGGUAUAAUAUGGAUUUUGAAGGCAUAUUUCACCGGACUCAACAUUUAUGGUUAAUUUACAACUCUUUGUUGGAAAGUCUGAGAAAUUGCUUUAUAUUAGGGGUGGGGAAAAUAAUGCUGGGCCACGAAUUUCAGGCAGAAUCCAGAUUGGGCCCAAUUAGACUUAUAGCUCAGCUCUGUGUAGAUAUCUGGGCCUUUACAAAUAAUUAAUGGGCCAAUUAAUAAUAAUAAAUAAAUUGAGAAGGGUGUGAGUGAAAUUAGAUAUGAAUGAAUCUGCCAAUGUAUGUACACAUUUUUAGCAAAAGAAAUCGGGAAUUUGACCAAACUCAAGGAAUUAUCUCUUGACCGUAACAGGCUCCAAGGUGCGCAUGAUCACGGAGUUUAAUUAUGAAAAUUGUUGCAUAAGUUGUAGUAUGAAUAAUGUUCCAUAAUACAGUUUAGACACGUUGAUUAAUUUGCAGGCGAAAUUCCUCGAGAGUUUGGCAAUCUUGCCGACUUGGAGCAGAUGUCGUUAUGGGAAAACAAUCUCCGAGGUAUGAUUCUAAACUUUUUGCGUUUUUUAUUAGAAAUUAAUUUGUAUUAACUAAAAAUUUUGUAGCAUCUGAAAAAAUUAAAAACACAUGGAAUAAAUCGUCAAUCUUCUAAUUUGGAUUUCUUAAAAAUUAUCUUGACAAGUAUGCUUCACUAAUGAUAUGCAUGUGUGACAACUUCAUAAAAUAUUUUACAUGGAAUCACCAAUUACCUUUAAAUAAUUGGAGAUGCCAUCAGUGAUACAUAAUUUCUUAACAAGCACCUUAUCAAAAGAAAUCAACAAUUUUAUUAAUCUUAAAAAGUUACAUCUUUACUGCAAUUAUGAAAUAAAUUUUUAGUCAUCAAUCGCAUAAUAUUUUAUCUUAACGGAUGAUGUUCAGUCUUGGAAUUUAUAAUACCUUGAAGGUUAGUAGCUUUGAAAAUAAGAAAUUGUUCAUUUGCUAAAAAGUUAACUUAGUAUUUAAGUUUUUCAAUUGAAAAUUUUGAAAAAAGUCUUGAGAACUAGCCCUCCUUAGUAUUUCAGCGGAUAAAUAAGAAAAACAGGCUUGAAGAAAUUAUUGUUGUGUGUGCUUAUUCUACUUGGGCUUUGGGCUUGAUUACACGGUUGAGCACUUACACCUGUUAUAAUAAUAGGCUUUUACUUUCACCACACGUUUGAUAAUUUCUUAACCUUCCCAAUUAGGUUAUAGCAAUUUAUAUAUAAAAAACGAAAGCAUACUAAAGCUAGCAAUUUUUUGACUGGUAUCAUUCCUUCAUCUAUUUCACGUCUUUCAUUAUAAAUUCUCAUAGGAUGAUAUCUCAUUUUUUAUUAGAAAUUAAUCUGUGUUUAUGCAAAAAAAUUUAGCAUCUAAAAAAAGUAUAAAAACACGUGGAAUAAAUCGAAAAUCUUUCUUCAUUACUGAAUUUGGAUUUCUCAAAAAUUAUCAUGACAGCUAUGUUAGUGUCUUACUAAUGAUAUGCAUGUGUGACAACUUCAUAAAAUAUUUUAUAUGGAAAAUAUUAAAAAUAGACUUGAAAAAAAUUAUUUUACUGAAAUAAUAGUUAAAAAGAGAGGAGAAGUAUUACCUAUUACACAUGGUCGAACACUUACACCUGUUAUAAUAAUAAUAGCAUCCGCCGGUCGACUAUGAGUGAUCAAAUUGUUUGCACAUGUGUAAUUUGCAGGAGCAAUUCCACGGGAGUUGGGAAAUCUUACAGGAUUGGGGUUCUUAGAGCUGGGUGAAAAUUUUUUAACCGGUAUCACUCCUUCAUCUCUCUCCAAAUUGCUUUUCUCUAUUAAAUUUGGAACUCUCAUUUAAUAACUUAACAGGUAACUUCCCUUACAACAUGUUUGUGUGACAUGUUUUGCUUCUCAAUUAAAAUAUUUCACUUCUCUCAUUAUAAAUUCUCAUAGGAGGAUGUGUUGUUAUUACUAUUUAACAUUAUCUCGUUUUUUAUUAGAAAUUAAUCUUUGUUUAUGCAAAAAAAUUUAGCAUCUAAAAAAAGUAUACAAACACGUGGAAUAAAUCGAAAAUCUUUCUUCGUUACUGAAUUUGAAUUUCUCAAAAAUUAUCAUGACAGCUAUGUUAGUGUCUUACUAAUGAUAUGCAUGUGUGACAGCUUCAUAAAUUAUUUUACAUGGAAAAUAUGAAAAAUAGACUUGAAAAAAAAUUAUUUUACUGAAAUAAUAGUUAAAAAGGGAGGAGAAGUACACUACUCAUGACUUAGGCUUGCUGUGUACUUAUUUUACUUGGGAUUCGAGCUUGAUUACACAUGGUCGAACACUUACAUCCCACGACAUAGGCUUUUAGGGACGAGUGGCGUCAAAUGUGUAUAUGCUUUUAUGUAUUAUUAUUCUUUGAAACAAAUCUGAUUAUAAUUCUUUUAAAAUACAGAUUAAAUGGCACGUGAAAUCGGAAAAUAUUUUACUGCAAUAAGAAUUCAUAUAUUCAUUGUACUAGCACAUAUAAAAUAAACUAUAAAUUUAGUUCCAAAAUACAUUCUUAUCUUCAUAUAAAUUUUACAUUAUUAAUUUAAAUUAAUAUUAAAAUAUGUUGUUUCUUUCACUAUGUUAUUUUAUUUACACAAUGAUGUGACUAUUGGAAUUAAUAAUACUUUUAAUUAUUUUGUAAAAAUAUAAAUUUAAUACUUUGUUAACAUUUUAACUACAUAUAAUAAUUAAACUGAAACUUGUAUUUAAAAAAUUCGAGUUACGCAUAUUCAUUUCAUGACAUAAAAGUGUAUAUUUAUGCUAAUUUACCAUUAUCAACAAAAAGAUUUGAGACAAAUAAUCUAAUUUAUAUUUUUAUAUUUAAAAUCUUGCAUUUAUUAUAUUUUGAAAAAAAUUUAUUUGCAAUUAUUUUAAACGGUUGGAUUCAAAUUUUCAUAGUUACUAAAGUCAAAGGGUAUAAAUGUAUAAUAGUCAAAAACAUAUUUGUAUGAUCAUUUUUCAAUGUAUAAAUUUUCUUAGUUAGUAGGAAAAUUAGAAAUUGUUGAUUUACUCAUAAAUAAAUUUAAUGUUUAGCAUUUCAAUUUUGGAAAACUUGAACUAAAUGUUGAUAACUUCGAAUCGGUCGAGCCGAGUUUCUCUUCCUUGACCCACGGACCCAUUGAAAGUUCUAUUCGAAUUGAGUUUCCUGGUGCUUAUAAAAAGCAUUUCUUUUCCUUGUUGCAGUAAUUUAUUCACAAAUGAGUUGAUUAGCAUCGAAGUUACCUGAGAGUCUGAGACCAUGCUAGUAGGAGAAAUUUGAUAAGAAAUUAUUUUACUGAAUUAAUUUAUUUUAUCUUGUUGCAACUGGAAUACUACUUUUUUUUUUGGGCCAUCACUUGGGCUUGAUUUACUUUAAUAGUAGCAUCCACCGACUUAGGCGUUUUUUACUUCUCACCACACAAUUUGAUCUUUUAAUUAGUUUUAACCACAUAAUCUAUCUAUUUCUCACCUAUUGCUUACUUAAAUCGCAUACAUAUUUUACCUACUAAUUUUUAUAAAUAUUAGUCAAAUAUAUUUUAUUACGUUUUUCUCGUAACUGCUCCAAAUGUGUACUAUUAAUACUUAACCCUCCCUUUUAAUUUACUGUGCAAUCUAUCUAUCACUUAAGUCAUAUAUAUUUGACCUAUAUUUUACCCCAAAAAAUAUAAAAAUAAAAGAAAAAGAAUGUGUAGCAAUUUGCAUAUAACUAACAAAGCAUUGAUGGUGUGUAGCCUUUCAAUACUUCACGACUGGCUUUUCUUGUGUGUUAGUACUUGUAAUAAUUGUGUAGUGUAUAAAUGGCAUUUUAUUAUUAAAGUGCGUCCAUUUUUAGAUAUUACUUAUUAUUUGAAAAAUAAUCUGAAUAUAAUUCUUUUAAAAAACAGGGGAGAUACCACUUGAAAUUGGUAAUCUCCAAAAUCUGGAGGAGUUGGACCUUCGUCAAAACAAAUUAGUUGGUAUUGUCCCCGCUGCAAUCUUUAAUGUGUCCACGCUCAAAUUACUUCAGCUUCAGAAUAAUUCUCUCUUGGGAUGUCUUUCGUCCAUCGCAGACGUCCGACUACCAAAUCUUGAAGAGCUUUCUUUAUGGGGUAAUAAUUUCAAUGGCACAAUUCCUCGUUUCAUCUUUAAUGCUUCUAAGCUCUCUAUACUAGAAUUGGUAGGCAACUCAUUCUCCGGUUUUAUUCCCAACACAUUUGGCAACUUAAGAAACCUUGAGCGGCUUAAUUUACAAGAUAAUUAUUUGACAUCUUCAACUCCAGAAUUGAGCUUUCUAUCCUCGUUGUCAAAUUGCAAGUCUUUAACACUUAUUGCCUUAUCAAAUAAUCCACUAGAUGGCAAUCUUCGUAAGACGUCUGUCGGUAAUCUUUCUCAUUCUUUGGAAAUCUUUCUCAUGUACAAUUGUAACAUUAGUGGCGGAAUCUCUGAAGAGAUUAGCAACUUGACCAACUUGACAACCAUUAAUUUAGGAGGCAAUAAAUUGAAUGGAUCAAUUCCGAUUGCCCUUGGCAAAUUACAAAAGCUACAAUAUUUGGGUCUUGAAGAUAACAAAUUAGAAGGAUCAAUCCCAGAUGAUAUUUGUCGUUUGGAUGAACUGUAUGAAUUGGAGUUGGGUGGCAAUAAGCUUUCAGGAUCAAUCCCUGCAUGCUUCGGUAAUCUGAUUGCUCUGAGGAUACUGUCGUUGGGUUCCAAUGAGUUAACUUCUAUUCCCUUAACUUUUUGGAACCUUAAGGAUAUCUUGCAACUCAACAUUUCAUCAAAUUAUUUUACUGGUCCACUCCCAUUAGAGAUUGGAAAUUUGAAGGUUUUAAUUGGAAUUGAUUUUUCGAUGAAUAAUUUUUCAGGCGUUAUCCCAACAGAAAUUGGAGGCCUAAAAAAUCUAGAAUAUCUCUUCUUAGGAUAUAAUAGAUUGCGAGGAUCGAUUCCUGAUUCAUUUGGGGAUUUGAUAAGUUUGAAAUUCUUGAAUUUGUCCAAUAAUAAUCUCUUUGGGGCUAUUCCUGCAUCUUUAGAGAAACUCUCAUAUCUUGAAGAUCUAAAUCUUUCUUUCAACAAGCUAGAAGGAGAAAUUCCUAGGGGAGGAUCUUUUGGAAACUUCUCAGCUGAAUCAUUUGAGGGAAAUGAAUUAUUAUGUGGUUCACCCAAUUUACAAGUCCCGCCAUGCAAAACUAGGAUCCACCACACAUCAUGGAAAAAAUCUCUUCUCCUGGGGAUUGUCUUGCCAUUGAGUACUACAUUAAUGAUAGUAGUCAUUUCGUUGAUCCUAAGAUAUCGACAGAGAGGAAAACAACCAUCGAAUGAUGCUAAUAUGCCACUAGUAGCAACGUGGAGAACAUUUUCAUACCUAGAACUUUGUCAAGCAACAGACGAAUUCAGUGAAAACAAUCUAAUCGGCAGAGGAGGUUUUGGCUCUGUUUAUAAGGCAAGACUUGGGGACGGGAUGGAGGUUGCAGUGAAAGUUUUCAAUUUGCAAUGUGGAAGAGCGUUCAAGAGUUUCGAUGUUGAAUGUGAAAUUAUGAAAAGUAUUCGCCAUCGAAACCUUAUCAAAGUUAUUAGCAGUUGUUCAAAUGAAGAGUUUAAAGCGUUGGUAUUAGAAUACAUGCCUCAUGGAAGUUUGGAGAAGUAUCUGUAUUCAAGUAAUUGCAUUUUGGAUAUUUUUCAAAGAUUGAACAUAAUGAUAGAUGUUGCAUCAGCUUUGGAAUAUCUGCACUUUGGUUGUUCAGCUCCAGUAAUUCAUUGUGACUUAAAGCCCGACAAUGUAUUGUUAGAUGAUAAUUUGGUUGCUUAUUUGAGUGAUUUUGGCAUCGCGAAGCUCUUAAUUGGAGAAGAUCAGUCUAUGACUCAAACGCAAACACUUGCCACAAUAGGUUAUAUGGCACCAGGUUUGUUCAAUAUAAACAUUUUCUAUUUCUUGUAAACUUCCUAAUAAGUUAUUUAUGUUUCAUGAUCUUCAUUAGAUCAGGAAAUUAUUGUUAAUGAUAUAUCUUACUAUGUAACUGUUGCAAUUCAUAGAGUAUGGAAGAGAAGGACGAGUAUCCACAAAUGGAGAUGUUUAUAGCUUUGGAAUUAUGUUAAUGGAAACUUUUACCGGGAAGAAACCCACAUAUGAAUUUUUUAAUGGAGAAAUGACAUUAAAGCAUUGGGUUAAUGAUUGGCUACCCAUUUCCACUAUGGAAGUUGUUGAUGCUAAUUUGCUAAGUCAGGAGGACAUACAUUUUGUUGCAAAGGAGCAAUGUGUGUCAUUUGUCUUCAAUUUGGCUAUGGCGUGCACUGUGGAAUCUCCUGAGCAGAGAAUCAAUGCAAAAGAAAUUGUAACAAAACUCUUAAAAAUUAGAGACUCAUUACUUAGAAAUGUUGGAGGCAGACGUAUAAGACAAUCAAAUUUAAAUUGAUUCUACCCCUCCACUACUUGCUAUCCUUUUCAGAGACUUGAACAAUUAUCCUUAAUACAAUUUUUGUUGAUGUGCUUUGUUAUUGCUCUUACUCAUGUUUAUUUCUCUAUUUCUUUAAUUUGCAUGCAUGUAUUUUUCGUUCUCUUUUAUGUUUUUGUUGGUUUGUAUGUAGUUUGUUUUUAGGUUGAUUAUGUCCUCCCCUAAUUAGACGCAUCCUUUUUAUGUUUAUUCAAUAAAGCUUCUCUAAUACUAUCGAGGUUCAUCAAAAGAAAAUUUUAAAUUAAUUUUCUUUUCUUUGACAGGUAAUGAAAUUCUAAUCUUCAUAGUGAAUAACUUCAAUAAUAGAGUGUAAGUGUAUUAGUAGUUAUGGUUGUUUUUUGAACCUGGAGUCAAAAGCAAUUUAAUAGCAACAAACAAGUCUCUUGUAUUAUAGGCAAAAUUAUUUUCAUUAAUCUUAUUUUUCUACAUGUUCUCCUAUUUUCUCCAUUUAUCUUCGC
rnacentral:lncRNA from 1 species